rnacentral:lncRNA from 1 species
AAGGAAAGGAGUAAAAUAGGUUAGGAGCACUGAGGUGGCAUGCCGCGUGGGAUCCACUAUAUGAAAUAUCAGCGUCACAUAAAAUUGGAUCUGCACCUUGGACAAUCCUAAUAUAAAAAAAGUAUAUUUGAGCCAAUAAUAUUAUAACAAGAAUAUAUAUUUUCACCCAAAAUAUAUCGAAGAAUAUAUUUAAAUCUUUUUUAAUAAUACAUAUGUAUAUUUCCUUUUCCGUUUUCAAAUUUGAGUGUAGUUUUCUAGGAAAACGCUACCAAUUUGAAGAUAUUCUUUUGAAUUUUUUUUGUACCUCUACAGCUACAACAGUUGUGUUUUCUCAUAUAACCAGGAAAUAGACUUGUAAUGAUAGACUUCGUUCACUCACUCCUUAUACUAACUUUGGUAUGUGAAACGUUUAACUCUUUUGGUUUGUUGGUCCGCUUACUAAGCUAGUACUAAUAGAUAACUUGUAUAUCUUUAAAGAAAGUAAACAUAUUCAUUAUCUUUUCUUUUUAUUUUAGGGAUAGGGUAUUAGAGGAAAGGAGUGCAAUGUCACUAUGUUUUACCCUAUCGACAUGUAUACUGUUAAAUAUGAAUUGACACGUGGUCAUCUAAAGGAAGGAUACAUAGAAGCAAAGAUGGGAUGGACAAAGAUCGAACACAACUAUUCCGCUUGUCUCAGGAAGGGAUAACAUUCAAAAAGAUGUAUUAAAUGCUUUAUGCCUGGUAGGGCUGUCCAACGGGAUGGGAUGUCCCGUCACGACCCUAGUUCACCAAUUGUAAACCUGUCAUGACGACACCCAGUCUUCGUUACCAAGUAAGCCUAACACAUUGCGGAAUUUAACAGUUCGAAAUAAAAACAAUAACCAAACACUAAGUAGAAUAAGAAAUGUAUAACGUUGCCGCUUGGCACAUACACUGAAUACACAACGUCAGAAAAUAAUAUCCCAAAAGACGGAAUCCCACGGGCAACACAGCCUGUGGGAAUAUAAGUACAGCUCCAAUAUAUGGAGUGUCUAAUACAACUGAGAAAAACAGGAAACAAUACUGCUAACUACAGGAUAGAAUGGACCGAGACUCUCCGGUCUACGGACGCAACAGAUAUACCUGAAGUCUCCGAUAGCAAGCUCCGGACACACUGAUGGUAUGCCUGGCCGGAUGCACCUGGAUCUGCACAACAAAUGUGUGAGAAAAGUAGCAUGAGUACACCACAAUGGUACUCAGUAAGUGCCAAGCCUAACCUCGGUUGGGUAGUGACGAGGAAGGUCGAGGCCCUACUGAGGUAAACAUAAGAAAUAAUAUGAAAUGAAUUGACAGUAGGAAUAUAGUCAAUUUCGAGUACCUAGCAAAAUAAUAAGUAGAACGGAUACAAGCUACAACUACAAUCUACGAAUACAAGAACAUUCACUACAACUAUUUAUCAUCAGGGAUCUCCUGCUAUCCCAAGGAUCUCAUGGUAUCCUCACCAUAAACACAUAUCCCGAGGAUCUCCUUGUAUCCUCAUCAUAUCACAAGGGAUCUCCAAUUAUCCCGAGGAUCUCCUGGUAUCCCAAUCAUAUACACAAUGGAUCUCCAAGUAUUCCCAGGAUCUCCUAGUAUCCUCUAAUUAAUCAAUCAUGUACCGGAGAUCUCUUAGUAUCUCGCACUUUCAAUCUUAGAACAUAAUACGUACAGGGGAAAUCUCGGGAUGCCGUCACGUAGCCCCAAUUGUAAACACAUCACAACAAUUCAAUAUUGAACAAAAUGAAGCUAAGUACAGACAACAGGAAACAAAUCUAGAAUUUAGCAUGCUUCACAAAAAAACGGAUAUUGCAAUUUAGGCAAAUAGAGCAAAUAAGCUACUAACAUGCUUUCCGUAAGCUAGAACAAGUGAAAUUGCAUUUUUUAAUAGUUAAAUGCGUAAAGAAACAUAGAUUGAAUAAGUCAAGUAAGGUAAAUUUUUCACAAUUAGCACAAGUACACGCCCGUCACCUCACGCACAAGGCAUUUACACAACACUCAAGAUAUCCUAAGGGGAGAGGUCCCCACACAAGGUUAGACAAGCCACUUACCUCGAACCGGUACAAAAAUCGCUGAAAAAUAAUGCCAUUGCCACAAGUAUCCGACUCCGAGUGGCCAAAAUCUAUUCAAACCAAUUACAUAUUGUAAAUAACAUCUCAAGUAACUAAUUCCUCUAUUAAAAUUAAAGCAAAGGCACAAAAAUGGGUAAAAUGUCCAAAAUGACCCUCAGACCAAAAUCUCGAAAUCAAUAAUUUUUACAUUUUCAGAAACCUCGUACUCUCAUGAGUCUAACCACAUAAAAAUCUCCCAUAUCGAAGGUCAAAUGCCCCUUCAAAACUAAACAGUUUAGGCAAAGACAUUUUACCCUAAUUAUCCAAAUUUUGAUCCUAAAUUUGAAUUUAGAUGAUGGAUUUAACCACAAAAUGAUGGAAUAUAACCAAAAAGGAUCAUAGAAAUUUUACUCAAUAAUUUCCUAUCUGAAACCCUCUCAGAAUCGCCUUUUCCCGAGCUUAAACUUGAAUUUUCAAACGUUGAAAUUAGGUCUAGGAUAAAACCCUUAACAUUACAGUGGUUUCUUCUUUUGCGGAUCUAGGGACCACUUCUAUGUUUUGCUUUUGCGGAGAAUCCAACCGCUUAUGAUGUUUUCCAAAAAUGCCGACCUGCCCUUUCUGCCGUCCAUCACAAGCAGAAGCGAGUCCAUUUUUGUGGAAAGCUCUACCGCUUCUGCACUUCCUAGCCUUGAGCCCAAACUCGCAUCUGCCGCACCCUAGGCCGCUUCUACGUUAUCGAAGCCAGCCUUAAGCCUUCAGCUGUCACACACUUAGAAUUUCUUCCGUUGACCACUCAAAAUCACCCAGAGGCCCCCGGGACCUCAACCAAAAGACCCAAUGCCACUUAGUACCUCACUCAAACUUGCACCAAUCCUUAAGAUACUAAAACAACACCGAAACCUUUAUCAAAUCAAAGAAUCAAGCCGAAGAACUUCAAGUUCAUCUAAAAUACACUUUCGGUUCAAAACCUAAUCAACACUCAUCUGAUUGACCUGAAACUUUGCACGCAUUUCCCAAAUGACAUGACAGUGCUGCAGCAACUUCCGGAAUUCCGUUCCGACCCUAGGAUCAAAAACUCACAAUCGGAACGGAAUCUUCAAAAUUCUAGGCAUUUCUAGCCUAAAUUAGCUACGGACAUCCAAAACACAUUUCGAACACGAUCCCGAACCCAAAAUCACCUAAUGGAGCUAACGAAAUCAUCAGAUUGCCAUUCCGAGGUUGUCUUCACAUUGUUCUGAUUACGGACCAUUUUCCCAACACUUAAGCUCUUAUUUAGGGACUAAGUGUCCCAAAACUCUCUAAAUUCUAUUACCGAACGUCCCGGAAAUACAAAAUAGUAGAAAUGAACUUACGGAAGCAGUUAAUGGGAGAACGAGGCAUAAAUUCCCAAGACGGCUGGCCAGGUCGUCACAUACUCCUACACUUAAACAUUCAUUCGUCCUCGAACGAGCAUAUAGAACAUACCUAAAGGAGCAAAAAGAUGAGGGUAUCGGCUACGCAUAUACCGCUCGGUCUCCCAAGACGCCUCCUUGGUCGGCUGACCCCACCACUGAAUCUUUAAUGAAGCUAUAUCCUUUGACCUGAGCUUUCGGACCUGCCUGUCUAAUAUUGCAACUGGCUCCUCAACAUAAGACAAGUCAUUGUCCAACUGUAUUGAAGUGAACUCCAACACGUAAUACGGGUCACCGUGAUACGUCCAAAUCAUCGAGACAUGAAAUACCGGAUGAACUCCAGCAAAACUGGGAGGUACAGAAACCUCAUAAGAUACCUUCCCAACCUGAUUUAAAAUCUCAAAUGGGCCAAUGAAUCUCGUGCUCUCAAUUUCCCUUUCCUUCCAAACCUCAUGAUGCCUUUCAUAGGUAAGACCCGAAGCAAAACCCGCUUACCAACUAUAUAGGAAACAUCACGAACCUUCUGGUUCACAUAACUCUUCUGUCCAGACUGAUUCAUACCGAGUCUAUCCUGAAUCACCUUAUCCUUCUCGACCGUAUCCUUGACCAAAUCUGUGCCCAAUAGCCUGGCCUCACACGACUCGAACCAACCCACCGGAGAUCUGCAUCUCCUACCAUAUAAGGCAUCAUAAGGCGCCAUCCGAAUAUUAAACUGUUAACUGUUGUUUUACGCAAACUCAUCCAAUGGAAAGAACUGAUCCCGUGACCCUCUAAACUCAAUCACGCACGCAUGGAGCAUAUCCUCAAGAAUGUGAAUAGUGAGCUCAGACUGUCCGUCUAUGUGAGGGUGAAAAUCUGUACUAAUAGUCACCUAGGUACCCCACUCGUGCUGGACGACUCUCUAGAACCGAUAUGUAAGCACUGAACCCCUGUUAUAGAUGAUAGAAACUGGACUGCCGUACAGGCGGACAAUCUCCCUAAUAUAAAUCCCCGCUAACCGCUCCGCUGAGUAAGAAGUACACACUUGAAUGAAAUGAGCGGACUUGGUCAGUCGAUCGACAACAACCAAAAUAGAAUCAAAUUUCCUCGCCGUCAGAGGGAGACCAGUCACAAAAUCCAUAGUGAUCUUCUCCCAUUUUCACACCGGAAUAUCCAUCCGCUAAAGUAACCCUCCCGAUCUCUAGUGUUCAGCCUUUACCUGCUGACAGUUGAGGCAUCUAGGUGCAGACUCUACUAUGUCUUUUUUCAUCCGCCUCCACCAGUAAUGCUGCCUCAGAUCCUGAUACAUCUUCGUGGCACUUGGAUGAAUGGAGUACCGCGAGCUAUGGGCCUUGGUCAAUAUGAACUCCUGAAUAUCAUCAACAUCGGGUACACAGAUCCGACCUUGUAUCAUCAAUACCCCAUCAUCUCCAAUAGUCACAUCCCUAGCAUCGUCAUGCUGAACUGUGUUCUUAAGGACAAGCAUAUGAGGGUCAUCAUACUGUCGUUUUUUGAUACGAUCAAACAAUGAAUACCGGGAAACCACACAGGCUAGAACUCGACUGGGCUCCAAAAGGUCCAAUCUCACGAACUGACUGACUAAAGCCUGAACAUCCAUCGCUAUAGGUCUCUCUGAAGCUGGUAAAUAUGCCAAACUCUCUGCCCUGUGAUUCAAGGCAUCGACUACCACAUUGUCCUUGCCCGGGUGAUAAAGAAUAGUGACAUCAUAAUCCUUCAAUAUCUCCAACCAUCUCCUAUGGCGCAAGUUCAGAUCCUUCUGCUUGAACAAGUGAUACAAACUUCGAUGAUACGUAUAAAUCUCACAAGGCACUCCGUACAAAUAAUGACGCCACAUCUUUAAUGCAUGAGCAAUAGAAGCUAACUCGAGGUCAUGGACAUGAUAGUUCUUUUCAUGUACCUUCAAUUGUGUUGAUGUGUAAGAAAUCAGCCUACCUUCCUACAUCAACUCCGCUCCAAGUCCAACUCGUGAGGCAUCACAAUAAACCAUAGAGGACCCUGAACCAGUAGGAAAAAUCCGAAUAGGGGCUGAAGUCAAAGCCUUCUUGAUCUUUUGGAAGCUCGCCUCACACUCGUUUGACCAUUGAAAAGGAGCAUCGUUCUGGGCAAAUCUAGUAAUUGGGGCUGCAAUCGAUAAGAGCCUCUCAACAAAAUGACGGUAAUAUCCCGCAAGGCCAAGGAAACCGUGGAUCUAUGUAGCUGAGAAGGGACUGGGCCAACUCUGCACUGCCUCCACCUUCUUCGAAUCUACCCGAAUGCCCUCACUCGAUACCACGUGGCCUAGAAUGCCACAAAACAUAACCAAAAAUCACAUUUUGAGAACUUUGCAUACAAUUUCUUUUCCCUGAGGGUAUGAAGCACUGUCCUCAGGUGUUGCUCAUGAUCUUCCCGAGUCUAGGAGUAUACAAGAAUAUCAUCUAUGAAAACAAUGACAAACGAGUCGAUAUAGAGCUCGAAUACACUGUGCAUCAAAUGCAUAAAAGAUGUUGUAGCGUUGGUUAGCACAAAUGACAUGACAAGGAACUCGUAAUGACCAUACCGAUUCCUGAAAGCAGUCUUCAGGAUAUCCGGCUCCUGAAUCUUUAGCUAGUGAUAACCUGAGUGAAAAUCAAUAUUAGAAAACACCUAUGCGCUCUGAAGCUUGUCAAAUAGAUCAUCAACACGAGGCAAAGGAUAUCGGUUCAUCGCUAUAACUUUGUUCAACUAACGAUUAUCAAUACACAUGCGCAUAUAACCAUCCUUUUUAUUUACGAACAAGAUAGGAGCACCCGUUGGUGAAACACUUGGUCGAACAAGACCCUUAUCAAGAAAUUUCUGUAACUGAUCCUUCAACUCCUUCAACUCGGGAGGAGACAUACGGUAAGCAGGAAUAGAUAUGAGCUAAGUGCCCCGCAAAAAAUUAAUACCGAAAUCAAUGUCCCAAUCGGGUGGCAUGCCCGGAAGAUCAGCAGGGAACACAUCGGAAAAUCCCGUACUACUGGUAUAGAGUCAACAGAAGGGUAUCGGCACUGACAUCUCUCACAUAAGCUAAGUACGUGGCGCACCGCUUCUCAACCUUACGUUGAGCUUAAAGAAAAGAUAUAACUCUACAGGGAUUGUGAUCAAAAGUACCACUCCACUCAAUACGUGGAAUACCUGGCAUAGCCAGCAUCACAGUCUUAGCAUGGAAAUCAAGAAUAGCAUACUGGGGGACGACCAUUCAACGCCCACGAUAAUGUCGAACUCAACCAUAUCAAGUAAUAAAAGAUCUGCCUUGGUCUCAGAAUCACGAAUAGUAACCUAACAUGAUUGAUAUACGCGGUCCACAACAAGGGAAUCUCCCACGGGAGUAGAAACAUAAACAUAAGAGCUCAUGGUCUCUCGGACAGUACCCAAAUACGAAGAAAAAUAAGAUGACACGUAAGAAUAAGUAGAUUCUAGAUCGAAUAGAACUGAUGCCUCACUAUGACUAACCAAUAUAAUACAUGUCAUAACAGAAUCAGAGGCGAUAUCCUCCACACGAUCAGGAGUAGCAUAUAAUUUAGCCCGGCCCAUCCCCUGAGGGUGACCUCUAUCUCCCUGAUCUCGGUCGCUGGCUAGCUGGGCAGGUGGGGUGGUAUCUUGCGCUGGAACGACGGACUGAGAAUCUCGCUGGGUACGCUGAUGAGAAAGCUGUGUAAGUGCACUCCUCCCAAGCCUAGGGCAAUCCCUUACGGCAUGGUGGGUAGUGCGCACUCAUAACAAGAUCUAGGAGGGUACAGUGACUAUGACUGAAUGGGCCCACUCCUUCUAGACUGACCUCUGGAGGUACCCCGCACCGGAGGCACACUGGAAACCGGAGGUGCAUAUUAAGGCUCCUGAGAUCUUGGAGGAGCUGGAGUACUGCAGGAUGAAGAAAGAGCUGAGUAUACUGGGCGACCCGUAUAGCCAUUAUGAUGACGUCCUGCUCCUGAAGUGUGGGUAGUAGAGAAAUGACUCGACUCUUGAGACCUCUUGCUCUCUCUCUCUCCUCUCGCUCUCUCGCAUGCAUACCCUCUAUCAUGCUGGCUAUGCUCACUACCUACUGAUAGGGUAUGUCCAUCUCCAACUAUCGCGUCAUGCAAGGCAUGAUGGAAGGAACAAGAACCUCGAUAAACCAGCGAACCCUCUUACAAAUAGUAGCCACCAAAGUAGGUGCAUGCCUCGGCGGCCUAGUAUAACAGAUGGAAUAAUCAGAGACAGUCAUAGGGACAUGGUGCACGUGCUCAAACUCUACGCGCCAUGCAUCUCGGAGGAUCUGGGAACAAACUCCCUCUGAAACAUAUCUGAAAAUUGAGUCCAAGUCAGAGAGGAAGCCUCGUCCGGACUUUCUAACUCUGAGGUGCGCCACCAGUCGUAGGCGGUUCCCCGAAGCUAGAAUGAUACGAAAGAAACCCCGCUCGAGGCAAUAAUUCCAAUGGUGUAAACGAUGCAGUGAAAAUCCUCAAAAAAUAUCAAAGCAUCAUCUAAAGCUACUCCGCUAAAAACAGGAGGGUCAUACUUCUUGAACCUCUCCAAUUUACGCUUCUCAUCCUCCGAGCAGGCGCCCCAUUCUUGGGCUGAACCGGUACUGCAGGGUGGACACGGAUGAUAUUUGUUUUCUGUCCCAUAUGCGCCCUCUUAGGGGUGUGCAUUCGAUUUAUCGAUUCGAUUUUGACCAUUAUCGAUAAUUACUUAUCGAUNNNNNNNNNNNNNNNNNNNNNNNNNNNNNNNNNNNNNNNNNNNNNNNNNNNNNNNNNNNNNNNNNNNNNNNNNNNNNNNNNNNNNNNNNNNNNNNNNNNNNNNNNNNNNNNNNNNNNNNNNNNNNNNNNNNNNNNNNNNNNNNNNNNNNNNNNNNNNNNNNNNNNNNNNNNNNNNNNNNNNNNNNNNNNNNNNNNNNNNNNNNNNNNNNNNNNNNNNNNNNNNNNNNNNNNNNNNNNNNNNNNNNNNNNNNNNNNNNNNNNNNNNNNNNNNNNNNNNNNNNNNNNNNNNNNNNNNNNNNNNNNNNNNNNNNNNNNNNNNNNNNNNNNNNNNNNNNNNNNNNNNNNNNNNNNNNNNNNNNNNNNNNNNNNNNNNNNNNNNNNNNNNNNNNNNNNNNNNNNNNNNNNNNNNNNNNNNNNNNNNNNNNNNNNNNNNNNNNNNNNNNNNNNNNNNNNNNNNNNNNNNNNNNNNNNNNNNNNNNNNNNNNNNNNNNNNNNNNNNNNNNNNNNNNNNNNNNNNNNNNNNNNNNNNNNNNNNNNNNNNNNNNNNNNNNNNNNNNNNNNNNNNNNNNNNNNNNNNNNNNNNNNNNNNNNNNNNNNNNNNNNNNNNNNNNNNNNNNNNNNNNNNNNNNNNNNNNNNNNNNNNNNNNNNNNNNNNNNNNNNNNNNNNNNNNNNNNNNNNNNNNNNNNNNNNNNNNNNNNNNNNNNNNNNNNNNNNNNNNNNNNNNNNNNNNNNNNNNNNNNNNNNNNNNNNNNNNNNNNNNNNNNNNNNNNNNNNNNNNNNNNNNNNNNNNNNNNNNNNNNNNNNNNNNNNNNNNNNNNNNNNNNNNNNNNNNNNNNNNNNNNNNNNNNNNNNNNNNNNNNNNNNNNNNNNNNNNNNNNNNNNNNNNNNNNNNNNNNNNNNNNNNNNNNNNNNNNNNNNNAUAAGGUUUCGAUUUUUUCGAUUUUGAUUUUUUCGAUUUCGAUAACAAAUAAUCGAUUCGAUUUACCGAUAAACCGAUUCGAAUGCACACCCCUACGCCCUCUGCUCUGGAAUGUGGGCUGUGGGAGCUGGGCUCCUCCCACGGCCUGGGACAUGGCUGCAGGAAGGUGAAGCAAUCCUACCUGUGACAGCGUAGUAUACAUGCUCAUAAACUAUGGCAACGCCUCCUGAACAGCUGGAGUAGUGGUGGCUGUGGGCGUGUCAGGUGCCUGAGUCCUAGCUGGAUCUGUUGGUGGCACCUCGGCGGCCACUCGCGCAGGUGCUCUGGUUGCACCCCACGCGCGUUCACGACCCUUACCCUGGCCCCUGCCUCUAACGGCUACAGGAGGGUGUGCGGGUGCCUGAUUGUCCAGGUUCGUGCGUGUCCUCACCAUCUGUGAGAGAAUAGAAGACAGAAGUUUAGAGUCGAUGUCAAAAACAUAGCAUGACAAAGAAUUCAAUGGAGUGAAGAUUUUUCCUAAACAGUUACAUAGCCUCCCGCAUAUAAGUACAGACGUCUCCGUACCGAUCAGUAAGACUCUAAUAAAUCAGCCUGUGUCCCGUGACUCCUAUGAACCUAGAGCUCUGAUACCAACUUGUGACAACCCUAGUUCACCAAUUGUGAACCUGUCAUGACGGCACCCAGUCUUCGCGACCAAGUAUGCCUAACAAAUUGCAGAAUUUAACAGUUCAGAAUAAAAACAGUAACCAAACACUCGGAAGAGUAAGAAAUGUAUAACAAUGCCACUUGGCACAUACAGUGAAUAAACUUUCUGAAGAAAUAUCCCAAAAUACGGAAUUUCACGGGCAAAACAUGCUAUGAGAACAUAAGUACAACUCUUAUAUAUGGAGUGUCUAAUACAACGAAAAAAAAUAGGAAACAGUAAUGCUAACUACAGGAUAGAAUGCACGGAGACUCCCCGAUCUGUGGACACAACAGAUAUACGUCAAGUCUCUGAGAGGAAGCUCUGGACUCACUGAUAACACGCCUGGCCGGAUGCACCUGGAUCUGCACAACAAAUGUGUGCAGAAAAGUAGUAUGAGUACUCCAAAGCAGUACUCAGUAAGUGCCUAGCCUAACCUCGGUUGGGUAGUGACGAGGAAGGUCGAGGCCCUACUGAGGUAAAUAUAAGAAAUAAUAUGAAAUGAAUAGACAAUAAGAAUACGGUAAAUUUCAAGUACCUAGCAAAAUAAUAAGUAGAACGGAUACAAGCUACAACUACAAUCUACGAAUACAAGAACAUUCGCUACAGGCUAUUUAUCAUCGGGGAUCUCCUAGUAUUCCGAGGAUCUCCUGGCAUCUUCACCAUACACAAAAGGUAUCUCCAAGUAUCCCGAGGAUCUCCUAGUAUCCUCAUCAUAUACACAAGGGAUCUCCAAGUAUNNNNNNNNNNNNNNNNNNNNNNNNNNNNNNNNNNNNNNNNNNNNNNNNNNNNNNNNNNNNNNNNNNNNNNNNNNNNNNNNNNNNNNNNNNNNNNNNNNNNNNNNNNNNNNNNNNNNNNNNNNNNAUGGUAUCCUCAUCAUAUACACAAGGGAUCUCCAAGUAUCCCGAGGAUCUCCUAGCAUCCUCAUUAUAUGCACAAGGGAUCUCCAAGUAUCCCGAGGAUCUCCUGGAAUCCUCAUCAAAUACAUAAGGGAUCUCUGAGUAUUCCGAGGAUCUCCUGGUAUCCUCAUCAUAUACACAAGGGAUCUCCAAGUAUCCCGAGGAUCUCCAAGUAUCCUCCAAUUAAUCAAUCAUGUGCCGGAGAUCUCUUAGUAUCUCGCACUUUCAAUCUCAGAACAUAAUACGUACAGGGAAACUCCUGGGAUGCCGUCUCGUAGACCCAAUCUUAAAUACAUCACAACAAUUAAAUAUUGAGCAGAAAGAAGAUAAGUACAGACAAGAGGAAAAAAAUCUAGAAUUUAGCAUGCUUCACAAAAAGGCAGAUAUUGCUAUUUAGGGAAAUAGAGCAAACAAGCUACUAACAAGCUUUCCCUAAGCUUGAACAAGGAAAUUGCAUUUUUAUAACAGUUAAAUACAUGAAGAAACAUAGUUUAAAUAAGUCAAGUGAGGUGAAUUUUCAAUAAUUAGCACAAGUACACGCCCGUCACCUCACGCACAAGGAAUUUAAACAACAAUCAAGAUAUCCUAAGGGGAGAGGUCCCCCACACAAGGUUAGACAAUUUACAUACCUCGAACCAGUGGAAAAAUCGCUAAGAAACAAUGCCCUUUCCACGAGUAUCCGACUCUGAGUGACCCAAGUCUAUUCAAACAAAUUACAUAUUGUAAAUACCAUCGGAAGUAACUAAUUCCACUAUUAAAAUUAAAGAUAUGGCGCUAAAAUGGGUGAAAUGACCAAAACGCCCUUCUGACCAACGUCCCAAAUUGAAGAAUAUUUACAUUUUCAGAAACCUUGUACUCUUACGAGUCUAACCAUAUAAAAAUCUCCCAAAUCGGAGGUCAAAUACCCCUUCAAAACUCAAUAGUUUAGCCAAAGACGUUUUACCCAAAUUAUCCAAUUUUUUAUCCUAAAUUUGAAUUUAGAUGAUGGAUUAAACAAAACAAUGAUGGAAUAUAACCAAAAAGUAUCAUAUAAACGUUACCCAAUAAUUUCUUCUUCGAAACCCUCUCAAAAUCGCCUUUGCUCGAGCAUAAACUUGAUUUUUCAAAUUUUGUAUUUAAGUCUCGAAUAAAACCCUUAACAUUACAGUGAUUUCCGCUUUUGCGGAUCCAGGACAACUUCUGCGGUCCCACUUUUCCGGAGAAUCCAACCGAAAUCUGCGGUUUUCCAAAAAUGCCGACCUACCGCUUCGGUGGUCCAUCACUCGCAGAAGCAAGUCCACUUCUGUGGAAAACUCUACCGCUUCUGCAGUUCCUAGCCUUGAGCCAAAACUCGCAUCUGCGGCGCCCUAAGCCGAUUCUGCGGCUCCACUUCUGCGGCUUCGAAGCCGCAUUAAUGAAAAUACUAGGAUCUUGAAGCCUUCAACUGUCACACAAUUAGAAUAUCUUCUUUUAACCACUCAAAAUCACCCCUACGCCCCCGGGACCUCAACCGAACGCAUCAAUACCACCUAAUACCUCACUCAAACUUGCACUAAUCAUUAAGACACCUAAAAAACACCGAAACCUCGAUCAAAUCAAAGAUUCAAGCCUAAGAACUUCAUGUUCAUCCAAAAUAUGCUUUUGAUUCAAAACAUAAUCAACACUCGUCCGAUUGACCUGAAACUUUUGACACGCAUCCCUAAUGACAUGACGGUGCUGCAAAAACUAUCGGAAUCCCGUUCUGACACUCGGAUAAAAAACUCACUAUCAGUCCAGAAACUUCAAAAUUCUAACUUUUGGUAUUUCGAGCCUAAAUGAGCUAAGGACAUCUAAAACACAUUUCGAACACGCUCCCAACCCCGAAAUCACCUAACGGAGCUAACAGAACCAUCGGAUUUCUAUUUUGAGGUUGUCUUCACACUGUUCUGAUUAUGGACCAUUUUCCCAACACUUAUGCUCUCAUUUAGGGGCUAAGUGUCCCAAAACACUCCGAAUUAUGUUAGCAAACGUCCCGGCAUACCAAAAUAGCAGAAAUGAACUUAGAGAAGCAUUUAAUGGGGGAACGAGGCAUAAAUUCCAAAGAUGACCGCCGUGUCGUCACACUUCCUGCGUCCCUCCCCGUACCGCUUCAAUUCUAACGAGACAGGACGAAGCGGGAUGGGACUCAGGAUGGGACGGGAUGGCCAUUUCAUCCCGUUUGUCCUGCUUCAUCCCAUCCCGCGUCUCGUCCCGCUUCCCGCCAGUUUUUUUUUAAAACUAGCCAUUUUGGCCACAGCCAUAAUUUAAUAAUUUUAUUAUGCUACAAAACAAUUUUAGGGUAUAUAUUAUCCUACUGUUAGCCAAAUAUUAUGGUAUAUUUGUGGAAUUUAUAUUGUGUUUUCUAAGUAUAAAACAAAUCCAACUUAUGCACCGGUCGUUAAAGAAAUAAUUUUAAAAUUUAAAAAGUAUUUUUUUCCUAUUCCCGAAGUUUAUUUAAUUUCUUCUCUACUUAAAUCAUCUUUAAAACUAAUAGGUGCAAUGUGACUUGUUCGUAAUAUUUAUGAAAAUUUAUAAAUUCAAGAAAAUGAAGAACCAUCUCUCGAAAACUGCCAAGCUAGCAUAUAUUUUUAUGCUAGAUUUAUGUUUGAUAAAUAUAAAUCUAUGGAUACAACUAGUAUUGUAACUGCUCCUUCUACUUCUAAAUCUAGAUCAGAUGUUUUUGGGAAGAUAUGGAUGAUAUAACAGGUUUGGAUUCCUCUAUUGACGAUGAACUUGAUUCUUAUCUUAAUCGAGGAUUAGAAAAUAUUAAAGACGAAGAAGGAAAGGAACAACUUUUGUCAUGGUGAAGGGAACGUGGCAAGGCGUUUCCAACACUUUCAAUUAUGGCCCGAGAUUUCCUGGAUAUUCAAGCAUCAUUAGUUAACUUUUGUCAUGGUGGUGAGAGCGUGGUAAGCCAUUUCCAACACUUUCAAUAAUGGCUCGAGAUUUCCUGGCUAUUCUAGUACUAUCAGUAGCAUCGGAGAGUGCUUUCAGCGCGGCAAGAUUUCAAAUUGGAGAUCAUAGACAUUCAUUAGCGGAGGACAAUCUAGAGAUUUCCGUAUUAUUCAGAGAUCAGAUUAAUUCAUAAAGAAGAAAUCUUGGUUUUGAAAAAUUAACCACUAAUGAAGAAGAAAAUUCAAUGAGAUACUAACCACAGGGAGCGAUGACGGCAUGGUAGAGAUUGGAUUAAAUCAGAAAGAAGAAAUCUUGAUUUUGAAAAAUUUACCACUAGAGAAGAAGAAGAAGAAUACAAUGAGAUACUAACCACGAGGAGCAAUGACGUCAUGGAGCUCAUGGAACACCAAUAAACAUUUCCAAUUCCAUUAGAAUGUCCGAGAGAUAUUAUUGAAAAUUUACAAAGAAGCUAUAUAGGAUCUUACAAAUAUUAGUAUGAUAAUUUGUAAUUGGCUAUUAAGAGGCAUAGUUUAAAUAGAACCCUUCCUAGAAGGUGACUGCGUAGAUUAUGUGCUCUUCAAAAGAAUUAUAUUUGUAUUUGAGAUUAGAAAGUUCUAUUAAUCAAAUUACAGGGUCUAAACGUUGAAUUAUUUUAAUGAAUUGUCUUAAAUAAAUUAUAACUCUAUUAUAAAUUAUUUUUACUAGAAUAUUUAUGUACAAAUAUUUUACUUUAAUAUUUUAUAAUUGUUUACUUAGUUUUGUAAUUUUCAUUUUAACAUUUAAGUUUGUUAAAUAAGUAAAACAAACUAGUCGUUGGAAACUUAAAAACUUAGUCAUUUAAAAAAAAUACACUCAAGGCCCACAAACCCGUCCCGUCCCGUUUAUUAGGGGGACGGGACUGGAUGACCGUUUCAUCCCGUCCCGCCAUCAUCCCACAUAAAUGUCAUCCGGUCCCGUCAGAAUCGUCAUGUACCAUCCUGGCCCGGCCCGUUGGAUAGCCAUAACACCUGGUAGCACUUGAUAACAAAUAUUCUGUGGAAUUAAGAGUGAUGACGCGUUACAGAGAAUUGGCAUUUAUGUUGAUCGUUGCAUCUUCAUCAAUGUCCCACAUAGUUGACAUUAAAGUAGGGCACGAUCCUAUGACGUCCUUCCCUAUACACAACUAUAAAUAGUGACCACACCUAUAAAUGUAGGACACACGAAUUUUUUGGUGUACUUAUACUAUAUUAUAUAGCAAGCUUAAUACAAUAUCUCGGUUUUUUCUUUUAUAGAAGAGAAUAUCAUUAAUGCGGUAAGGUCUUAUAAGGGCAACAAGAUGAUCAGAUGGGACAGUUCUAUGACAUGAUGGGAAUUCUUCACACUCAUACUAAACAUACGGGAUAUUGGUUAAAAAGACAAGCUCUUCACUUUCUUGGAAGGUUUUAAACCUCAUGCCUGUAUAGAGCUGCAAAGACAAAGGUUAGAUACCCUCCCCAAGGCAAUCCAAGCUACUGAAUGCCUAGGGGAUUAUCACUUGGAAACUCAGAAGAAUACGCCUCAACCGCCUAUUCGAGGGGGUUUCAACAGGAUCCAGCCUAGUAAUGGUGGCCCUAGCAGAGUUGGAGGAGAUUGAAAAGUAAUUAAAUCCAAGACUACAUCCUGAAGCAGCAACACCGCUGCUUUCAUGAACAACAAUUAUGAGAGGAAACCCCCAUUCAGAAUGCCACAUUUGAGGCAGUACACAUUGGAACAAUGAAUGACCAUAGAUAUUAACACUCAUCACAUUGUUGAGCAUGAGUCAGAUGACGACUCAGACGAAGCAGAACAAGUAGGUGCCUUCAAUGCAAUCAUUGGCUCCAUCCCUCAUACCUUAGAGGGAACCAGUGCUGGUAUCCUUAGAAGCACUCAUGCCUAAUUGCCAAGCAAGGGGAAAAAGGCGGAUGAGAUGCCUCCUCCUAAAAGAGGACCUUAAUGUUUGUCUAGAUGAAUGUUAAUGGUAAACCCAUCUGGGCAAUGAUCGACACAGGUGCUAUCCACAACUACUUAGCCUCGACUCAUGUGAAGAGCCUCGGUAUAGUGGUAUAAAAGAUAAGGGUCAUGUGAAGGCUAUCAACUCACCACCCCAACCAGUGGGUGGAAUAGCCAAGGAAGUUCCCAUGAAGCUUGGACUUUAUGAAGGAAGAUUCGAUAUGUGCGUCGCAAUCAUAAAUGACUUCGAACUCAUAGUGGGGUUUGAAUUCUUUAGGCAGACCUACACCAUACCCCUAACAUAUGCCAACAUGCUCCUGGUGAUGGGAGAAAAUGCGUCAAAACCCCGCAUCACACCAUGCAUGCCUAUAAAGAUGGUCGCUAAAAACAUCUUGGCCAUACAGUUAAAGAAGGGAGUCAAAAGACAUGAACCUAUGGUUCCAAUCACCCUUUGCAACAAGAAUCAGAAGUCCUAUCUUCGGCCUCAGAUGACUGAUGAAGCUCCUCAGUGUGGGAAGACUCGUCAGGUAGACCAAAAUGAUAAGUUAAAACACUUAUAUAAAAAAGGUCUUCUAGAGAUACUACAUGUCCUAGAAAGACCUCCGGAAAGUGUCUCCUUUAACUUCAUCACAGGAUUACCCAAAGUUGGAAGCUUUGCAUCUAUCUUGGUUGUAAUGGAUUGGUUUUCCUUUUGUGAAACCUUCAUAGCAGCCCCACAAAAUAUAUCAGCAGAUGAUACAACUCCAAUCUUUAUCUCGCACAAUGUCAAAUAUUGGGGCCUGCCCAAAGACAUCGUUAGUGGCUAUGGCUCACGCCUCACUAGCAACUUCUGGACCCAUCUCUUUAAGUGAUUCAGGUCAAAAUUAUGUCACAACUCAAAAUUCCAUCCAUUAUCAAAUGACCAGAUGGACGGUUCUAUGACAUGCUAUAGGAAUAUCUUUGUCAAUUUGUAAUCGGAUCGCAACAUCAUUGGGUGAAGCUUUUGGAUGCUUCUAAACUAUGUUUCAAUUCUCAAAAGAGACCCAAUACAAGCAAAAGCGAUUUUAAAAUUUUUACCGGACAGCAACCGAUUUUCCCACAAAUGAUGAAUGCAUCAACUAUGCUGAAAUCUCCUUGAGCUACCAACUUCUCGAGGGAAUGGGAGCCCAAUUUGGAGAUAGUUCGGACCUAUCUUGUCAGAUUCCAAGAGCGGGCGAAAAGGAUCACUGAAAAAGAAUAUUUUCUUUGUCCAACACCAAGCAGGAGACAAAGUGAUGCUAAAUGUCCCAAGGCGGUAAUUUUUCGCAGAGAGUACCCGUGACCCUUGCCUACUACAAAAAUAUAUUGGGUCCUUGUCCUUGAAAGACGUAUUGGGAAAGACACAAACCAGGUUGCCAUCCAAGCCUGGUGGAAGAUCUAUCAUGUCAUCCAUGUCAGUCGCGUGAGAUCUUUUCGGAAAGAAACUAAAUAUCAUUCAAAAAAACAACUCACAUAAAAAGGGGAAUAAACCUCACUACUAAUAAGAGCCUGAUUAAUCAUCAUCAUGCAGGAAAGGCUCCGAGAACGUCGCCAACUCGGGUGGGGGGAAUGUCAUCGGCGGCUUUCCACAUAUGCCCCAUGACCCCUUGGUCGCAUUCGUGGCUUCCUAGAAAGCCUCCCAAUGCCUAGUUCCAUGGUCAGCCCCAUGGUUUCGGCAUUGCAAAGUGCAAAGCGUGCAUGUGCCUCUGUCGCCCAACCGAUAGCUUACGCCAGCCCCAAUAGCUGGCAGAUGACAACAAUGCUGCAUGCACUGAAAAUGUUGGGUGACAAUUCAUGAUUAUGCCGAUAGCGUAGCGUGCAUAAACAAUGUUGCAUAUGUAGAUCCUAAUGCCUUGUCAGCAGCCAGCCGCAGGCGAACUUCAAAUAGUGUCGUGUGCACUGACAGCACGGCGCACACAUACCCUUAUGCGAAAGACAAUGUUGUUGCCAACGGACCUGUUUUCUACCUUGUAGAAAAUUAAGUAAUUUUCAUUGUAAAUAUAGAGUUUCUUUAUUUCAUGUACUUCCAUUACGUAUCUCUAGGUUAGUUAAGUCUAGUCUUAUAACUUUGGUUUAUUGUUUUAAGCAUUAUCAGGGGGAUCAAGCAAUCAAACUUUCUAUCAAGCAAACAUUUCUCUAUACUGAUGUCUCUCCUCUCGAUAUUGAAUAGCCUUUUGUAAUAGAUUUCAUUCUCAAUUCUCAGUUCCAUCUUUGCAAUUGCUUUUGAUGUUGGUUUUUCCAUACGAUAUUGACAAUCUCGUCUAGCGUACAGAUGGGACCUCUGUUAGCGUACAACAACUGUACUGAUAUUGAUUGCUUAGCCUUACGUCACCCUUCCAAGGAACCUCAGAAAGGCACUGGGUAACAUAUUAGAUGCGCACCUUUGACAAUCUUAAUAGAAGAGAGGUAUAAUAUUACAACAGGAGUAUAUAUAUGGCCCCAAAGUAUAACGAGAACUAUAUUUAAACCGUUUAUAUAUAGUUCUCGUNNNNNNNNNNNNNNNNNNNNNNNNNNNNNNNNNNNNNNNNNNNNNNNNNNNNNNNNNNNNNNNNNNNNNNNNNNNNNNNNNNNNNNNNNNNNNNNNNNNNNNNNNNNNNNNNNNNNNNNNNNNNNNNNNNNNNNNNNNNNNNNNNNNNNNNNNNNNNNNNNNNNNNNNNNNNNNNNNNNNNNNNNNNNNNNNNNNNNNNNNNNNNNNNNNNNNNNNNNNNNNNNNNNNNNNNNNNNNNNNNNNNNNNNNNNNNNNNNNNNNNNNNNNNNNNNNNNNNNNNNNNNNNNNNNNNNNNNNNNNNNNNNNNNNNNNNNNNNNNNNNNNNNNNNNNNNNNNNNNNNNNNNNNNNNNNNNNNNNNNNNNNNNNNNNNNNNNNNNNNNNNNNNNNNNNNNNNNNNNNNNNNNNNNNNNNNNNNNNNNNNNNNNNNNNNNNNNNNNNNNNNNNNAUAUAUAUAUAUAUAUAUAUAUAUAUAUAUAUAUAUAUAUAUGAUCCUUUCCCAUUUUAAAGUUUGAGUGUAGCUUUCCAGCAAAACACUACCAAUGUGAAGAUAUUCUUUUGAUAUUUUUUAGUACCUCUAUAGCUACAGUUGUGUUUUCACAUAUAUACGGGAAAUAGACUUGUGAUGAUAGACUUGUUCACUCACUCCCUUUUCUAAUUUUUGUACAUGAAACGUUUAAAGUUUUGGUUAGUCGGCCCAUUUACUAAGCUAGUACUAAUAGAUAACUUAAACAUAUUUAAAAAACCAAAACCUAUUCAUUUAUCUUUUCUUUUUAUUUAAGGGCUAGGGCAUUAGAGGACAGGGGUCAAUGUCACUGCGUUUUAGCCUAUCCACUUGUAUAGGGUAUAAUAUGAUACAAUACGUAGUUAUCUAAAGUAAGGACUGAUGUGCCGGAGAAUUUUGGCACAUUUCAAUACUAAUUGCUUAGAUUCUAGCUUAUCUUAAUGCAAUUAAAACUGAUACUCAUGUAGAUUUGGUGUCUUACAGCUCAAGAGGAAGGGAAGAUCGAGGAUAUGAAAAUGGAAGCAAAAAGAGAAGAAAAGAACAUGAUGAUGCACAAGUGCAAUUCUGCGGACCAUUCUGCGGUCGCCUGGAAAAGAUGAAGUUCUGCAAUUGCAAAUCUAUUAUGUGGUCUGCAGAAUGACCGCAUAAUCGCCUCUUAUCUUGGCCGAGCAAAGUGAUGAAAAUGCAGUGGGGAAUGCAGUCGCAGAAUUGAUCUGCGGUCCGCAUAUCUACCGCAUAUUGAAACAGAGAAUUGAAAAUUUUUGAAGUUUCAAAUGUUCAUUAUGCGAUGAUUUUGCGGUCCACAUAGUGGUUGUGCGACCGCAUUCUGCAUUGCAGAUUGACCAACUAGUUAGGCAUGCAAGUCUGCGGUGAUUCUGCGGUCCGUGGAGUGGCUCUGCAACUGCAGAAUGGACCAUAUUUUUGACAUUUCUUUAUAAAUUCUAUGAUUCUUCUCCCAAAUUAUUGAUGUUGUUAUACCACCUUGUGCAGAUAUGUCGCCCAGACAAAAACGAAUAGCUACCAAGCCUCCCUAGGCGAAGAAACAAAAAGUUUAACAUGCACAACAACAACCCUCCUAGUUUGAGGAGGAGGAGCUUCGCCCUGAGGUCGAAAUACAUGCUGAUGCCCGGAGAAAGCAAUGGGUUGAAGGUGCAGAAUACCAUCUCCGUUGGGGAGUUGAGGGGUCUAGGGACAGGUAUAAAGUUGGGCUCCUAUGGAGGUCGCUUUUACCUGAAAAGUAGUUGAGUCUAAAUGGGCUGAAGGAUAAAUACCCUCAUAUCCUCGCUAACAUCAAGUGGAGAAGAUGGUUAGCGUUAACUGAACCUCCUGCUGAGUACAACGAGUCAAUGGUGUGCGAGUUCUAUGCAUCCUACGGAGCAUCUAGAACCAAGUACCAUAAGCGUCAGAGGAUGUAUCUUGAGAAGGUAGAAUUUUGGGGCUUCACCGUCAAGUUCAGUGCCAAGGCAAUAAACAAACUACUCGUCCGAGAGUGGGAAGACGACAUAUCAAUAGCAAAGUAUGACGCCAAAUUUGCAAACAAAGAGGGUGAACGUAGCUGGAUUGCCUCCAUCAUUGCAAGUGGGACACCUGCAUGGAUACAACUAGGAAACAAGAUAUACAAGGAAAGCUUCUCUUUGUAGGGACGAUACAGGCUUGUAUUCCUUGCAUCGAGAUUGAUCCCUACGCAGAAAGAAAUUGAAAUUGCCAUUGAGAAGGCUCUCCUGGUUUCUUGCAUGAUGCAAGGCAUCAAGAUUGAUGUGAGGUCCAUCAUAUUUCAAGAAAUGGGUAAGGAGGCCAUGCAAGAUGCUACAUCUCUCCCAUUCCCAGCAUUUCUCACGACUCUAUAACAAGAUGCUAAUGUCCAGGUGGAUGUCCGGAAGGACAAAAUGGGCAGGGAGGCAGGUAUUAUUGAUAUAACCCAUCUUGGUGACGCUGUGGUGCACACUAUUGGUGUAUUUCAGGAGGACCUUCCUUCAUCCCAGCCUUUUGUCACUCCUCACACCGAUGUUGCCGAGUCCUCCACUCCUUAGACUGCCCCUACACCUAACACUGCUCAGACACCACCUACUCUUUCUACAGUCUCCAAGCAUUGUAUACUGGCCCAACAUGCAAAUGCAAAAGUUGACCAGCUUCUAAAGACUCUGCCCAAUUUUAUCAAGCAAGCCCUCACUCCCAUGCAACCGGUCGUGAUAGAUAUUCAGCAAAAAUAAUUAGUGUCUGCGGAAAGACUAUAGGGACUUAAGUUGAGGGUAGAGAAAUUGGAAAGAGGUAAGGUGAGUGGCAUGCCCGACCUCAAGAAGGAGUUUUCCUCUAUGAAGGUCGAACUCCAAAAGAUGCAAAACUAGGAAUUUGAUCUUUCAUCCCUCCUUCCCUCGGAAGGUGAUCAAGGUAUGGGCGCAGCUCCAGACUUGGGGCUUGAUUUCAAAAGAUUAAUGAAGGAUCGUAUGAUUCAUACCCUCGGAGUAUCUCAUGCCACAGCUCCCACUGGUCCCAUUUAUAUUGUUGCUGAUGAGGAGACCGGUAGUUAGGGUAAGUUGGAGGGUGACAGAGAGGAUGAGGAAGAAGAUAGUCUGGGGUUCUCCGGUGAUGAAGCCCCUCAGCUUGUUGAUAAGGGGAAGAUGGUUGUUGAGGUUUCUACUGAAGAUGAUGAGAUUGAGGAUGUUUGUGCUGACGAGGAAGAGAGGGCACAAAUCAAAAUUGCCCUGCAACUGUCUUUGCUUGACAUAGGAGGUCCUACAGCUCUUGUAGCAUACCCAUCUACAACGAGUGCAUCUAGUAGUUCUCAGGUGCCAGCCAAUGAUAUUAUCACUCCGGCAUCAGCUCCAGCGGCGCAGCCACUUCCUUCCCCUACCUCAAAGCAUCCACCAAUGGAGGAGAUAACACUCCCACCUAAGCCAGUGCCAGUUCUCACAGCCACAUCAAAGGGUGUUCCAUCCGGCACUCAGCCAGCUGCCGACUCCCACAUCACUUAGUGUACCUCAGGGAGCUUCCCCUAAAACUCUACUCUUUACUUCUAUGCAUUGGGACAAUGCAUCGUUUCCAUUUGUGGUUGGGCAGGUAGCAUUGUAGGAUUUUUGUUGUGUAUAUAGCUGGAAAUUCAUGAACUUAUGCGUAUCAUAUAGAUGUAUACAUUGGUAUAUGAGUGAUAUAUUAUUUUGGUUUUUGAUGUCUGUUGUUGAGUUCGUGUUCGUGUUUGUUAAAUAUUAGAUUGUGAAUCAAUUCCCCUUGGUUUUUCUUUUUUUGGUUCUUUUCCAAGGGUGUAAUAGUAGAAUCUGGAUUUUAGGUGUAAAUCAGUGUGACCGGGUUGGUGUAAUUUCCUAGUAUUGAGCAUGAGUGUAUGUACAUAACACAUACCUUCCUACAGUCCUUUUUGUCGACUUUUCCCAAUGAUAGAUAGAUUGACGACUGUCUUAAGGGUUGUGACCAGUUUUGUGUAAUUUCAUAGUAUUGAGCAUGUGUAUCUGUACAUAGCACAUACCCUCCUAUAGUCAUUCUCGUCGACUUUUUCCAAUGAUGGAUAGAUUGACGACUGUCUUAACAGAAUUUGUCUUGAUGAUCAAUCCUAUUAAUCUGAGGCUCGCUCUGUGACUCUAUGGCAACCCAGAAUUAUACUUGUGUUUAUGAUGAAAGCUUUGAGUUGCAAAAUAGUUACUCAGAAGUGUCAAAUAAUGUGAAUGAAGCAGAUCAUGUACCAUGUGUGUGUGAGUUCUCUAUUUGUAUAUAAUUCUCGUGUUUACUUCUGUCAUCUAAAACUUGCCCGGUUAGUCUUUCAAUGCGAAUGAUAGUAUAUUUUGUUGGAGGAAUGAUCUUAGGCAUUCAUUGGGAUUAUGUGUGAAACCUCUUUAGCCUAUCAAGCCUACCCAUGUAUAAAGGAUACAACUAGCACCCACUUUGAGCCUUGUUAACCAUUCUUUGGCCAACUCAUUACAAACCUUUUCCAUUUCGAAAAACAAUUUCAUCUCUUGAACCUAUCACUCUUUGAACAUGGAGAAUGAGGCUAAAAGCCUAAGUUGGGGGCAGGAUCAAAGUAGAAGAUUGUUAAGGUUGUAUGUGAGUUUAGGGCACCGUGCCUCAAAAGAGAUUACGAAAUUGUUCAGGCUCCAAAAAAAAAGAAUGAUAACUAUAAGCAGGAGAAUAAAAAGAGAAAUAAAAGAUAAAUCUAAUAAUUGCUAUGUUUAAAAAAUUGAGAGUCUUGAACAACAAUGAAAAUGUAUGGAAGCUAGCUAUAUACUGGAGUCUAGAUGAAAACAAAGACAUGGGGGUUUAAAAAAGAGUGCAAAAGAAUGGUAAGAUGUGAUUAGUGUUCAAAGAGGGUGAAGUCACCUGUACCCAUAUAUUUAUCCAACCCAUCCCUGAACCUGCAUUACAAGCCAAAAAAAACCCCUUAUAAGACCUCCAACCUAACAUUCUUGAAUAGGCGGCAAAUUAAAAUAAGGGCAAGCCUAUGGUAUGACAUGUUGCAGCAGUUGAAAUUAUUUUUGAGAGUGGGUAUGUAUGUAAAUGAUCCCUUUUUGUUGUCCUUGUAAAUAUUGUCAUUCUGGGGAUUUCUAUUUAAUAAGGGUAUAUGAACUGUGGAAUUGAACUGAAGUUGAGCUUUUUGAGUCAAACGAAAGUGCACUCAGCUGAGGGUAACAUCUAGUCACAAUGUUGAGGCUCAGAGUUCACAGGAUUGAUUAGUUUUCUCUAAACAUACUUCUAAUCUAGGAAGGGUGAAGCAACUGUAAAUGCAUGCUUGAAGAACUAGCAAUGAACAACAUCGUGAAUCACUAUCGUUUUGUAUUUGUAAAUAGAGUUUACAAUAGGCUAAGAAUGUUUUACUUGCUUGAGGAGAAGCAAGAGUUUAAGUUGGGGGUUUUGAUGUGCCGGAGAAUUUCGACUGAUUUCAAUACUAAUUUCUUAGAUUCUAGCUUGUCUUAAUGUAAUUAUAACUCAUACUCAUGUAGAUUUGGUGUCUUACAGCUCAAGAGGAAGGGAAUACCAAUGAUAUGAAACUGGAAGAAAAAAGAGAAGAAAAGAGCAUUAUGAUGCACAAGUGCAAAUCUGCGGACCAUUCUGCGGUCGCGGAUCUCACAUGCGGACCGCAGAAUCGCACCUCAAAUCGCAGAACAUUGCAGAAGCUAGAGCUAAAAACCAUGUCAAGAAUGCGAUGAUAUAUGCAGUCAUAGAAUCAACAUAUGGACCGCAUAUGCAUCACAUAACAAAAAAAACUCAGGAACGAAAAUGCAAUGAAAAUCUGCGGUCGCAUAACUAAAUGCGGACCGCAGAAUAGAACUGCGAUGAAGGCCUGACAACUAGGUUUUGAAUCUCUGGAGAGGCUGCUCAAAAUGAAGACAGCAGACCUGCUAUGCGACAAGUCUGCGGUCGCAUAAGUGACGUGGAAGUGCAAAUUUGUCCAUUUUUCUGUCUCAAAAUUGGUCCACCUAUAAAUAGUUUUAAGACACCUUUAUGGGCUCAUCUGGUCUUACUUUUGAGAUACAUUCCAACAAUUUAAUAUUCCCUCUUUUUGGAAGCUUUUGUGUGGAGAAUAUCUUCUUUGUAUGCAUUUUUAACAUUUAAUAUUAGUUGGGUUUUGUAUUUUAGCAUGUGUAGCUAGUUUGAAAUACUUAGGUUGUGAACCUUAAAUGAGUGUUAUGUUAAGGGGUGUUUAACAUUGAAUAUACAUAUAAUAGAUGGUUGAUAUUUAUUUACUUCUAAUUCUUCAUUCAUUGUUGGUGGUUGCAAACAUUAACAAAAGCCAUUAAACUCUUGCUUUGAUUGGGAAAGUGGUCUAGGAUUUGGUAGAAGUAAAUAUCAAUAACCCAAGGCUUUAAACCUUGUUUGAUAAAAUCGCUUAGGAAUAAGUGGGUUUUAAUUUUCGUUUAUUGAUGGUUGGUGAGUGUAGCUCUUUUAUAUUCUGGAAAAUCUUAAAGAGGAAAUACUACUCAUUCAUUGGGAAAUAGUGGGUAGUACUUUAGACAUCAAUCGCAUAUCUACGGAACCUUCCAUUAGAAGUAUAUCAUAUUAACACAUGUUGACAUUACACUACAUUGAAGGGGACACAACCUUGGUUGCUCUUAUUCCACUUGUUUACUCAUUAUGUGCAACUUAAUUUCAAACAAUCAUACAUACUCUAGUCACCACAUACCAUUCUCUCUUCAUACAACUAACUGAAUAGAGAUUGAGCUCGAGUCAUGCAACACACUGAACAAGUAACCUUUUCACACAUAUUCCCUGUGGGAUUCGACCCCAACCUAGUUAGGUUAUUAUAUUUGACAUCGACCGCCUUACACUAACUAUUAAAGUGUAAUUUGAACGUAUCAAGGACUUGUGGAACCUAAGAGUAGGAUGGAAAAAAAACCGAACACAACUAUUUCGCUUGACACCAAAAGGGAUAGCAUUCAUAAGGGUUUAUUAAAUGGUCUACGCCUAGUAGCAUUGAAUAAAGAAUAUUCUGCGGCAUUAAGAGCGACGAUCUAUUACUGAGAAUUGGAUUUUAUGUUCAUCGUUACAUCUUCAUCAACGUCCCACAUAAUUGACAUUAAAAGAAGGCACGAUCCUAUGACCUCUUUCCCUAGACACAACUAUAAAUAGUGACCACAACUAUCAUUGUUGGACACACGAAUUUUCUAGCGUACUUAUACUAUAUUCUAUACAAAGCUUCAUACAAUCUCACGCUUUUUGAUUUUAUUAUUGUUGUGCCCGGAAACCUUGUUCCCAGAAUCACCACUUUUGCCUUUCUGUUUAUAGUUUAAGGCUACAUACUGGAUAACUUUUCAAUUAUUUUAUUAUUUAUGGAUCAAAUUAGUUCACUUGUCUAGAAAUUAUGAAUAAAUUCAACUAUACCAUUUUAUAGGAAAAUAUUUUGGCACCCACGUGGGGCCUAGACAACCCUGAUAUUAAAUUGAUCCUUGCCGUUUUUUACUAAUAUGCUUUUAUUAUUUUAUCUUAAAAGAAUUACAAAAAAUGGCAGAUAACAAAGUUAACAACACGCGCAACCCGGAGAUUCGAGGGGAUCAACCUAAUUUUGAGGACUCAACUAGUGACACCCACAAAGAGGGAAAUGACACCAUGCUGGUGCAUGACAAGCAGUAUACUCGACAGGUUCAGGAGACAACUCUCGAUGAUGCUGAUGAGGAUCAUGUCAUUGACGCGGUAAGGUUCUUGCAAGAACAACAUGCGAUCAUUCUAGGACAUCUUACAUGGUGGGAUAAAGUUAUGACAAAGUUGAACCAGGCGCUGUCGGGUGCUUUGAUUAAUGGAAACAGACGAAAUUCAAUUUGUUCAAGUGUUCAUGUAAGUUAGACAACAUAGAGGGUCGAUAACAGCACUCCUAGGGGUGAAGUUGGCUACGAUGGAGCUGGAGGAAGCAGAUUUAGUCUCAAUAAUGAGAACGAUACGUUCAAGAAUGAACUUUUACGGUUGAUGAGGGAAGUAAAAGCCCUUGUGUACUAAAUUCUGGGCACGGCACCAUUACAGAAGGGUCCGGACUUAAAGAAGUAUACAGAGUUUCUGUACUAGCCAAGUAUGGCACGAUAAUUAAUCCCGAGGUAGUUUAAAAUGCCUGAAAUGUCAAAAUACGACUGGACUUUAAAUCUUAGCAUGUUAGCACCCACACAAGUGCGGUAAAGCAAAUGAUUUAGCUCCACACGAAAUUUAAUAUGUAUUGUUGAAGAAAUUUUGAGAAACUCUCACAAAUGUAGCUCUGACGUGGUAUUCACUAUUACCCGAGCUUUCUGUAGAUUCCUUUGAAAUGCUCGUGGACUCUUUUAUCAAUGCCUAUGCCGGGGUCAAAAAAGUACAAACUUGCAAGGCCGAUAUAUUUACGAUUGCGUUAGGAGUGUUCGAGUUACUACGAGAACUCAUUACCCGAUUCCAAAAGGAAAGAAUGUUUCUCCCGGCUAACCACGAUGAAUGGGCGGCUGAAGUAUUCACUAACGGAUUGAAUCCGAGAAGUUCAGAUGGUUCCUAGAAGUUGAAGGAAAGCCUGCUUGACUUUCAAGAAAAGACUUGGGCAGAUAUCCACAAUCGGUAUGAGUAAAAAAUAAGGAUGGAAGAUAAUCAGGUUGGCUUUCCAUCAUUGACCAAAAGACUGGAGAAGAACAGAGAAAAACUAAAAUAUGACAACAAUGCAGACAGAUGGACUUUGAGGGGCUCGAUUUUUGCCCUACGAUUGGACCGAAGGCCGUGGCAGAGGCUUUCAGACAGCAGACAAGUUCACCAUUGGUAGAAGAACCAAUCGUGGUAGAAAUAAUAGAUCACUAUAACAUAAUGAAAUGUUGGGGUCAUAGGAUCCUUCUUAACCCAAGUUAUCGGAAUACAACUUGAAUGUCAGUAUAGUGGAAAUGGUGUCACCCAUGAGAAACAUCAAAGAAGCGCGGUUGUGCACACCAAUGAGAUCUUAUUCCAGCAAAACGAAUUCUAACUUACGGUGUGAAAACCAUGGGACAAAUGGUCACCCAACAGGGGACUGCUGACACCUUCAGGAGGAAGUGGCAACACUAUUGAAGAAUGGUCACCGCAGAGAAUUCAUAAGUGCAUGAGCUAAGAACUCUUAUGGUCGUAAUAGAGACAACGUGGAACCGUCAAACGUAGGAUAAGAAAUCACAUGCCAACAAUAUGAUCUACGAAGGGAAUGGGAUUAAUGGGGUCACCUUUUCCGCAACAAAGAAAAUGAAAGUAUCAAUAACUCAUAGUAAAAUGCUCCAAGAAGAUGAUAUCAGUAUCAUGGAGGAGGACGCAAACGGAUUGUUGUUACCACACAAUGACGUACAUGUAAUUUCUUUAAAUGUGUUAGAUUUCAAAAUUAUAUGUAUUCCAAUGGAUCUAGGAAGUUCGGAUAAUAUUAUAUAAUGGAGAGUAUUGGAGCAAGCUAAACUCAUCGGAAGCAUUAUUCCAGCGACAAAGCUCCUUGUUAAUUUCAACCUCGCGAACGUAACAACACGAGCGGUGAUUUUAUUGCUCACGAAUUCUAAUAUGUAAUGAAAACAACCGAUAGCAAGGGAGAUGAAUGCAAUUUUGGUCUCCGGUAUCAAACGGAAUACACGACAUCGCAAUUACAGGAAAUGGUGCCUAUUCCCAAACUAGAUGAAGUGAACCCGAGGAUAGAGGCGUCAUAUCAUUAUCAAGUACAGAGAUAUUUCUAUGUUCCAGAAGAGACGGAUGCAACGAAGUCCACAACAAAGGAGAUGGAGCGAGUUGAAUUAUUCGAAGUAUUCCUAGAAAGGAAAUUCCACUUAGGGCUGGGACUAAACUCAGAACUCUUGUCGGGUUUUAUUAAUGUUCUUAAAUAAUGCCGAUUGUUUUGCAUGGUCACACGAGCAUAUGAUAGGUAUUCUGAUGGAUGUAGCAAUGCAUGAGUUAAGCUUAGAUCAAACAUACCUCUAGUAAGACAAAUGAAAUUCCCUAUUGCCAAAGCCAGGAAUAAAUUAGUCUAAGAAGAGGUAAUCCACUAGUUUAAUAUUUGUUCGAUCUGAGAGGUAAGAAAUCUGGACUGGCUGGAUAACGUAGUAGUAGUUAUUAAGAAGAACAAGAAAUUUUGCAUGUGUGUAGAUUAUAAAGAUCUUAAUAAUCCCUGCCCAAAAAACUCAAUCCCAUUGCCAAAAAAUGACAAAAUGAUUGAUACCAUGGUCGGCCACGAGUUAAUGAGUUUCCUCGAUGUUUAUUCCAGGUUUAACCAGAUCAAAAUGAAUCAGGAAAAUUAGGAAAAAACGUUGUUUAUAAUGAAUUUUUGUACAUAUUAUAAUGUGAUGCCCUAUAGGUUGAAGAAUGCCGGAGCCACUGAUCAACGACUCGUGAGCAAGAUGUUUGAAAAUUAAAUAGGAAUAUCUAUGGAAGUUUAUAUAGACGAUAUGCUCAUAUGUCUUUCAUUGUGGGUGACCACUAAAUAUUUGAAAGAAACUUUCGACAUCCCGAAUAAGCAUAUCAUGAAACAUAAUCCCGAGAAAUGCGUGUUCAGGGCUAGUUUUGGUAAGUUUCUACGAUUUUUGGUCUCAGAAAGGGGAAUUCAGGUAAAAACCAAUAAACUAAAGGCCAUAGAAGACAACCCGGAUCAUAUAUCGAACGUAAAGGAAAUCCAAAGGCUCAUGGGAAGGUUCACAACUUUGAGAAGGUUCAUUUUCUUGUCGUUAGAAAAAUGUCAUCAUUUCUUCCAACUUCUCAAAAAGAAAAAUAAUUUCGAAUGCACACCAGAGUGACAGCAAGCCUUGAGGGAUUUGAAGAGUUACUUGUCAAUCCCUCCAAUGCUCUCAAAACAAAAAAAACAAGGUGAAACAUUGCCAGUCUACCUUGCGGUCUCAGAAGUUGCCGUAAGUACAGUUUUAGUCAGUGAGGACGAAGGUAUGAAAUCUCCCAUUUAUUACAUUAGAAAAAUUUUAAUGAGAGCAAAAAAUCGCUACCCAUUUUUGGAAAAACUCUCCUUAGCGCUCGUAGUUGCCGCUCAGUAGCUAAGGCCCUACUUUUAAUGCCACCCGAGUGAUAUGGUCACUACUUUCGCUUUACGGAACAUUCUCCAUAAACCAGAGCUCUCGGGAAGAUUGGGCAAAUGAGCCGUCGAAAUAAGUGAGUUCAAUAUAGAAUAUAAAUCAAGGACUGCAAUUAAGUUGCAAGUCUUGGCUAAUUUCGUGGCCAAUUUUAGUCUAGAACUACUGCCUUUGGCUACCAAAGAAACAGUAAUCUUGUUAGAAUCGACAACGGGGGUUUGGACCUUAUCUAUAAACUGAGAUACCAACGUGAAUGGGUCCGGACUAAAAAUAGUCUUAAUCAUGCCUUUGGGGUAAACCUUAAGGCAAGCCAUCAGAACGAUGCUUUUGACUAACAAUGAAGUUGAGUAUAAAGUUUUGAUUGCAGGACUCGAAUUUGCCUGGGGACUUGACUCCGAGGUCACCAAAGUCAAAUGUGAGUCACAUCUAUUGGUAAAUCAGGUCUACAAGAUCUUUGACAUCAAAGAAUAACACAUGCAACAAAACGUGAUAAUGGUCCAGGCUUUGUUGGCACAAUUUGGAGAAUGGUCAAUUACUCAUAUCCCUAGGGAGGAUACACAGAAGCAGAUGCAUUGGCAAACAUAAGAUCAUCAACGGAAAUAAAGGGAUCGGAGUCUGGGAUGGUAGUGGAGCUGAUGAAGUUAGUACUGGAUAUUGAUGUUUAUUAUGAGGUAAAUUCAACUAGUAUGUUCUAGGACUGGAGAAAUGAAACGAUCGACUAUCUCAAGCAUGGGAAGUUUCCCAAAAACCCCCAAAUCAUCACGGGCGUUACACGCUAAAUUUUAACAAUACAGUUUCAAGAGAGGCCAAUUUUAUACAAAAGUUUUCCAAGGACUGUUGUGCCGAUACUUAGGAGCAUCCGAAGCUAGCUAUGUCAUGAGAGAGGUCCACAAAGUUAUAUACGGCAUCCACUAGUGCGCAAAUUCAUUGGUGCUAAAGUUUGUAUAGGCAAGAUAUAACCGGCCACCCAUGGAACAAGACGCCAAGGACUUUGUGCGAAAAUGUGAUAAGUGCCAAUGCUGUGCACCACUAGUGCAUCAGACGAUACAACCCUUACAUUCGGUACUGUCCCCAUAGUCGUUCAUGAAAUGGGGGAUGGACAACGUCAGACCAUUGCCACCGGCUCCCAAAAAGGCAAGAUUUCUUCUUAUUUUGACCAACGUAUUUUCUAAAUGGGUGUUAGCAUGUGCUUUUCAGACGGUCAAAGAAUGGGAAGUGGUUGAUUUCUUGUGUAAUAACAUAAUUUGCAGAUUUAGAAUACAAAAAAAGAUAGCAUGCGGCAAUGGACCAUAGUUUAUCGGUAAAGUUACAAAGUUCCUUAAAAAUUUGAAGAUAAAGGGGAUCACAUCUUCACCUUACCAUCCAGGCACAACAAUCAAUUAGAGUUAAUGAACAAAGUGAUUAAUCAAAACCUUAAGAAAAGGUUCGAAGCGGCAAGGCAAAUGGCUCGAUGAAUUGCCCAGAGUUCUAUGGGCCUACUGAACAAUGACCAAGUGAAGAACAAGAGAAACUCCUUUUUCCCUUGUGUGCGGUGCUGAAGCUCUAAUCACGGUGGAAAUAGUUGAACCCACUUUGAGAUAUUUACAAGAAGAUGAAGAAUCGAACAACAACAACAACAACAACUACCCAGUAUAGUCCCACCAGGUAGGGUCUGGGGAGGGUAAUAUGUAGACGAGCCUUACCCCUACCCGAAAGGGCAGAGACAACAAUCUAUAAAAGUAACUAUUAAACAUUUUAGUAAUAUAAUGCCCCACAUUGGAAAGUAGAUACCGAUUACUAUGUAACCACGGAAUAUAAAUAGACAUUGUACAGCAGUGCAGAAAUAACUAAUAAAUAUCCGUGCUAUACCUCUCACAUAAUAUAAGAGCGUUGGUGAGGAACAUCCGAAAAAGAUAACUCCACCAGACAGUCGCCCGCGAGCCACUUUCCGGCGACAACAAAAACACAAACAAAAACAAAAGAUCAUUAGUAAUUCUAGUAGAAAUAGCGUAAAUAAUUAUCUAAACGUAAGAAACAUAAAUAAAAUAGCAUGCAAUAGUAUCNNNNNNNNNNNNNNNNNNNNNNNNNNNNNNNNNNNNNNNNNNNNNNNNNNNNNNNNNNNNNNNNNNNNNNNNNNNNNNNNNNNNNNNNNNNNNNNNNNNNNNNNNNNNNNNNNNNNNNNNNNNNNNNNNNNNNNNNNNNNNNNNNNNNNNNNNNNNNNNNNNNNNNNNNNNNNNNNNNNNNNNNNNNNNNNNNNNNNNNNNNNNNNNNNNNNNNNNNNNNNNNNNNNNNNNNNNNNNNNNNNNNNNNNNNNNNNNNNNNNNNNNNNNNNNNNNNNNNNNNNNNNNNNNNNNNNNNNNNNNNNNNNNNNNNNNNNNNNNNNNNNNNNNNNNNNNNNNNNNNNNNNNNNNNNNNNNNNNNNNNNNNNNNNNNNNNNNNNNNNNNNNNNNNNNNNNNNNNNNNNNNNNNNNNNNNNNNNNNNNNNNNNNNNNNNNNNNNNNNNNNNNNNNNNNNNNNNNNNNNNNNNNNNNNNNNNNNNNNNNNNNNNNNNNNNNNNNNNNNNNNNNNNNNNNNNNNNNNNNNNNNNNNNNNNNNNNNNNNNNNNNNNNNNNNNNNNNNNNNNNNNNNNNNNNNNNNNNNNNNNNNNNNNNNNNNNNNNNNNNNNNNNNNNNNNNNNNNNNNNNNNNNNNNNNNNNNNNNNNNNNNNNNNNNNNNNNNNNNNNNNNNNNNNNNNNNNNNNNNNNNNNNNNNNNNNNNNNNNNNNNNNNNNNNNNNNNNNNNNNNNNNNNNNNNNNNNNNNNNNNNNNNNNNNNNNNNNNNNNNNNNNNNNNNNNNNNNNNNNNNNNNNNNNNNNNNNNNNNNNNNNNNNNNNNNNNNNNNNNNNNNNNNNNNNNNNNNNNNNNNNNNNNNNNNNNNNNNNNNNNNNNNNNNNNNNNNNNNNNNNNNNNNNNNNNNNNNNNNNNNNNNNNNNNNNNNNNNNNNNNNNNNNNNNNNNNNNNNNNNNNNNNNNNNNNNNNNNNNNNNNNNNNNNNNNNNNNNNNNNNNNNNNNNNNNNNNNNNNNNNNNNNNNNNNNNNNNNNNNNNNNNNNNNNNNNNNNNNNNNNNNNNNNNNNNNNNNNNNNNNNNNNNNNNNNNNNNNNNNNNNNNNNNNNNUGGCGAUGACCUGAGAUCCAAUCAUCACGUCCCUGCCUACUUCGCUCGGCUCGGCGCUAAACUUGCACUCCAGGUAUUCUGUCUUAGAUCUGCUUAUAUUGAAACCCUUAGACUCGAGAGUCUGUCUCCAUACCUCUAACCUCUCAAUAACACUGACACUCGUCUUAUCUAUCAAGACUAUGUCAUCAGCAAAUAGCAUACACCAAGGCACAUCUCCUUGAAUAAGACAGGUUAGAGCAUCCAUCACCCAGGCAAACAAGAGAGGGCUAAGCGCCGAUCCUUGAUGGAUCCCCAUAACCACUGGAAAAUGGUCUGAGUCACCACCCACCGUCCUAACCCUAGUCUUAGCUCCAUCGUACAUGUCCNNNNNNNNNNNNNNNNNNNNNNNNNNNNNNNNNNNNNNNNNNNNNNNNNNNNNNNNNNNNNNNNNNNNNNNNNNNNNNNNNNNNNNNNNNNNNNNNNNNNNNNNNNNNNNNNNNNNNNNNNNNNNNNNNNNNNNNNNNNNNNNNNNNNNNNNNNNNNNNNNNNNNNNNNNNNNNNNNNNNNNNNNNNNNNNNNNNNNNNNNNNNNNNNNNNNNNNNNNNNNNNNNNNNNNNNNNNNNNNNNNNNNNNNNNNNNNNNNNNNNNNNNNNNNNNNNNNNNNNNNNNNNNNNNNNNNNNNNNNNNNNNNNNNNNNNNNNNNNNNNNNNNNNNNNNNNNNNNNNNNNNNNNNNNNNNNNNNNNNNNNNNNNNNNNNNNNNNNNNNNNNNNNNNNNNNNNNNNNNNNNNNNNNNNNNNNNNNNNNNNNNNNNNNNNNNNNNNNNNNNNNNNNNNNNNNNNNNNNNNNCCCUUGAUGCACCUAACUUGGUCAAGAUCACGUGCCUUCCUUUCUCUUGCUUUAGCUAACCGGAAUAACUUCCUGUCCCGCCUCUCUCCCCUAGUUCCUCGCACAUGCAACCAAACGCCGCGUUAUUAGCUUCCGUAACCGCCAGCUUUGUUUCUUUCCUCACCGCCUUGUAGAUCUCCUGUUCGCUCUCCGUUCUUCCUCGCUUGUGCUCCCUGCCAACUUAGCAAACUCGCCUUCUUUACCUCCACUUUUCCUUCGACUACAUCGUUCCACCACCAUUCACCCUGAUGUCUGGCUGAAUAGCCCUUGGCUACCCCGAGCACGUCCCGUGCUACCUCCCUCACCAAGUUAUCGUUCUCUGACCACAUAGCGUCCGCUUCCCAAGAACGUCUCCAAGCUCCGCGCUCAGCUAACCUCCUCUCCAACUCUUGUGCUUUCUCCUUAGUCAAAACACCCCAUCAAAUCCGGGGUUGUCCCCGAGCUCACCUUCUCUUCCUAUUCACCCAGAGACCGACAUCCAUCAUUAGGAGUCUAUGAAGAGUCGAAAGGGACUCUCCCAAAAUAACCUUGCAGUCCUUGCACAUACCUCUAUCGCUCCUUCUGAGGAGGAUGUAAUCAAUCUGAGUCCUAGCUACCGAACUCUUGAAGGUGACCAAAUGCUCCUCCCUUUUCUGAAAUGUCGAGUUCGCAAUCAGAANNNNNNNNNNNNNNNNNNNNNNNNNNNNNNNNNNNNNNNNNNNNNNNNNNNNNNNNNNNNNNNNNNNNNNNNNNNNNNNNNNNNNNNNNNAUUUUCUUCUGAAAUGUUGAGUUCGCAAUUAGAAGCUCGGAAGCCGUGGCGAAAUCAAGUAGUGAAGUGCCUCCUCCGUUCGUAACCCCAAAGCCGAAGCCACCGUGCACCUCACCAUAACCCCCAGCAUCAGCCCCAAUAUGACAAUUAAAGUCCCCUCCGAUAACUAAAUUCUCAGAUUGGGGAAUACUACUCACCAGAUCAUCCAAGUCCUCCCAAUAGCGCCUCUUAGCCUUCUCACCUAAGCCCGCUUGCGUGCACGUAAGCGUUGAUGACGUUUAGGACGCAACCCCCAAUAACCAACUUAAUAGACAUUAACCUAUCAUUCACUCGCCUAACCUCAAAACAAUGAAGUUGAGUAUAAAGUUUUGAUCGCGUAAGCGCUAAUGACGUUUAGGACGCAACCCCCAAUAACCAACUUAAUAGACAUUAACCUAUCAUUCACUCGCCUAACCUCGACCACGGACUCCCUUCGAUCCCUAUCUACCAAGAUACCCACUCCAUUUUUACCUUUCACGACCCCAGAAUACCACAAAUUAAACCCGUCUACAUUCCUCGCCUUCGACCCUUUCCACCUAGUCUCCUGGACACAUGCUAUGUUAACCCUCUUCUUCUGAAGAACCUUCACCAAGUUAAUGGAACAGCUCGAGGAACGCAAAGACUUUGCACAUAUAAGAAUGGCAACUCAAAAGCAGAUAAUGGAGUCUCCAUUAUUUCAAUGUAGGAGAUUCGGUUUUGAGGAAAGUAUCUCAAAAUACCUGAGAUCUUAACAUGGGGAAGAUGGGUCUAAUGUGGGAAGGUCCCUACUGGAUUUCAGCUAUCACUCGAAAAGGUUCGUACGAGUUCAAGAACCACAAUGAAGUUUCCCAGAAAUUGGAACAUGGAACACUCAAACGAUAUUAUUGCUGAUGAACAUUAUCCAAGCGAAAUGUAUAUGCUGUACACUUUUUCCCUUCAUUCAGUUUUUGUCCUGAUUGGGCUUUUCUAUCAAGGUUUUUAACGAGUCAGCGACAGAAAGCAAACUACAAAGACAACAUUAAUAAGACCUUUAAUAGCAAGGCAAACAAACAAAUAUCCACUCGGGGACAGUUAUAUAAUCUUUGGCUCGAUAGCAAAUUUGCACUAGAAGUUAAGUUUUCUACUGAGCAAAGGUUACCCGACCAUUCAUUAGCACAACCCACUAGAGGUUUGUUUGGUUGUUAGAUUUCCUUUUUCUCGAUAGCAUGGAUUUCAAAUGGGAACUAAGGGGUGUUGCCGAGUUAAUGAUUAUUUUGCAAUUUAUUGUUAGAAUCUUUGAAGGCACAAGACUUCUAGUGUUCCAAUUCGUAUUCUUCACAUUCGAUAAAUGGGGGAGUGAUAUGAGGGUACAACAAUAAUGACUUCCACGUAAACCUGGAAAAAAAACCUGAUACAUAAAUGCAUCAUUGGGACCAGGGACCGCGCUUCCAGCUCCAUUGAAACAAAUUGUAUAAGAUGGCCACAAGUAAUGGCGAUUUCUUUUUAGCAUAGUAAAUGCUUGUGUACUUUUAAAAAUUUAAGGAAUUAUAUGAAAUUAAAUCAUUCGUUUUUUUUCUUGUUUAUUCUUUGAACAAUGAAAUAACUUUGUCAUUUGAAAGUUAAACAAGUACUUCAAAUGUUUGCGCUAUAAUGAACAUGAGACGUCCUCUUCAAGAGCACCAUUAAUAUAUGAGGGCCCUCUCUUAUGAAAAACCUCAUGUUAAAGGGUCGCUUUUGGAAGAAUUUAUGCCCAGAAUCAAAAUGCAUUGGGGGAAAAAUACACCCGAAGACGUACACGAAAGGACGCAAAAAGUAAAAUUGCGCAAAUUCUUAUAGACACCCUCAAGUAAAAGGUUAAUGCUCAGAACCAAAGUGCUUCGACGAAAAUGCAUCCGAGACUACACAUAAUAAAGUGCUGCAGAAAAACAUGCACAGAAUUCUUAAGCAAAUAUAAAGAAUAAUGACUUGAAUAUAUAUUCAAACGAAAGUGUGACUCAAACGGUACUUGAGGAAAAUACAUGUUUUAAUUAAUAAGAACAUGCCAAAAUGGAAAAAGUAAUAGAAUGGAAAAAAGGAAAGAAAAGCAUCAUCGUCCCCGGUUUGGUCUUUAGCAUCAUCGUCCCCUGAUUCCUCUUCAGCUCCCAAGAACAUGAAAACAGAACCAGAAGAACCAGUGACAUCAGACUGCAUCGGGAGUCUGUUUUUAGCAACCAACUCAAGCUCUCGGGCCUUAGAAAUUUUGGCAUCAAAGACAAUGAUACCUUCUUUGGCCUCUUGCAAGUUGUUUCUCCUUAUGUUGUACAUGGCAUAAGUUAUUUCAACAACGAGGGAAGCCGCUCUAUGCUUAAGUUGUUAUUUGAGUUCAAUUACCUCGAAAGAAAGGCUUUUCUUGGUGGACCUAACAGAUCUGAGGAUAAGAGCAAGGUUGCAGACAGUUGAAUUAGAGAGCCUGUUAUGCUCGAUAGUUUUCGUGUACUUCUCUUCUAACUAGACAUCUUUCAUCCUUACGGCAAUAGCUCUUAUAUUUCCAAGUUCAAGGUUUCCUCUAAGUCAGACACUUUUUCAGUAGAGGUAUCCUUGUGCUCGGUUGCAGCAGGAACGGUGUCCUAGACUUCAUCCCAUUUGGCCUUAGCUUCAUCAAAUCUAACCCUCAGCGGGCCAAUUUCUUGGCUAAUAGUUACCACCUCUUGCUCGCUUUUUUGCAAAUGAGCCUCAAAAACAACAGCAUCAGUAAUUUUGGUUUCCAGUUCUGUGAGACAAAGAACGGUUUGGUCUCAUUCCACCAAAAGUUGAUCCCACUGAUAAGUAAGUUUCUCCUUCUCACAAAUCAACCUCUGAUGGCCCUCAGAAGCAAGAAAGUUGACCUACAAACAAGAGAAAUAAAACAUAGAAUACUUUCAUACAAAAGUACAAGAAAUAACAAAGGAAGAAAGGAAGUCACUGCUGCGACAUUAUGCAUGGUGUUCUUCAACAAACACUCCCCAGAGAGUGCUUGAGUAUCUUCCCAGUCUUUCUCUAAAGCCAAAUGCUUCUCAUAAUUAGCAACUUCCACCGACGGGGAUAGUAGGUUGUAUCUGGUAGAGACUAAAAUAGUAACAAUCCUCCUCAUAUGGAGAUCUUUAGAAGGGGCAGCAUAAUUUUGCCCCAAAUUCCAAUAAACUGGGGAUUGGGGAGGAGGAACAUCUGCUUGUGACAAGAUGUUGCCAAUGGAGAUGAUGUAGUAGUUGUUGGUAAAAGAGUAGAUGAAGAUGGAAGCGUUGUAGCAGUUGCUGGUACUGCUGAAGAUGGGGAUAAAGCUGAUAGAGUUGAAGGGUGUGAAGCAAUUGCAUCAAAUGCAAUGCUGGUAAUUAGAUGCUCGCCAACCAAAGAUGGUAGGGACUCGGUACUCAUCCAUACGGUACAUGACACAUCAGUGGGACCCAAUAACUAGAGUUGUCAUUUUCUGCCAAAUCAAACUCCCCCCAGAGUGUCAAGACGUCGUCCUCGGUUGGUGUAAAUAACUCAAUAGAUUGAUCAUUCUGUAGAUUUGAUAAUGAACAUCCAUUUAUCUGUAGAAAAGCCCCAUCAUCACUAGCUUCUCCAUCAUCGCAUAUCAUCAUAGUGUCUAUGACCGGUCCGAGAGGAGGGCUAGUGAUCAUAACAUUUAGAGAUGACAUAGGGGCGUUAGUCUUUUAACUCUUAUUCUUUUCCCAAACCGCGGAGAAACAUCUUCUCUAAUAUGUUUAUAUUUCGGCUAGGGACUUUGUAAAAGGGGCGUUUGUGCCCGAAGUAGAUUCAGAGAUACAUGUUCGAGUAAGUGCCUCCUAAAGCAACCUCGCUGUUUCAUCAGGAUCAUCCAAGACAUACUCUCGAGGGAAAGCAAAAUAGCUUAUAGGUAGACCUUUUUUUGUGAAAACGUCAAGAGGGUUCAACCAAGUUCUUCACAUAAAAAUUUGAAACAAGGUAAGUUUAAAUUACUAUGACUUUUUCCCUUCCACCCGUAUUUAAAGGUCAGUUUUUCCACAAAUGAUUUUCGGGUGUCGUAACAUCCAAGAUCUUCUGAACUCAUCGGUCUAAGACUUUCACCACCAGUGGAGUCUAUCGAAUUGCUGAAACAUGCAAAGAGUUAAGGGUCAAUAUGGCCGUAGAGUAAUAUUUAGAUAAAGAAAAUGUUAUAUGAAGAUUUUACGAGCGCGGAUCCAAGUAGACGAAAAUAAUGAAUCAUCAACGAAAUGAUAUUAUUGGUGGUGACUGCAACAAACCAUUUCGUUCACCCACGAUCAUAAUAAUCAUCAAUGAUAGUCAAUAGAGCAUGGUGGACACGUUUGCAGAGGUUUAUCAUACCCAUACGGAAAAUCGAGGUAGAGUAGAGGUUCAUUAUACGAUAUAAGGUUAGCUCUUCUCCAAUUAUCUGGCACAAAUGUUGCAUCCGAUUGUCGUACUCACCCAAGGAAUUACCUAUGCCAAACUUCGCAAUCAUGGAAUACACCUUUCCACUCAAAUAAAAUGCAUCCAAAGUAAAGGGAUACGUGUAAAAAAUUUUAAAACCCUCCUUGGGAAGGGUUACUUGCCCUAACAGGUCAGGAGUAAUAAUAUCUACCUCAUACAACGACAGUUUUCCUUUAUAGUAGGAAUACUUGAGGGAUGAAUGGAAGAUGGGUACCUACUGAAAACCCAUGUACAAGGGUUAGUAGUAGGGAAUUUCUCUUCGAAAUCUUUUGUGGUAUUGAGUCUUCCAGGGAUGAUGGAACCCACCGUUACAGGAGCAAAGCUUUCUGCCUUUUUCUUGUUCUUUUAAGAACUAGCGUGCUUUGAAGAAGAAACCAUUGAAUUGAAGAAGGAAAAGAUUUUUUGUUUGGAGAGAGUUAUAGAGAAGAUAGAAAAAAAGGUGAAAAUCAAAAGCUUGGAAAAUAAUGGAGUACAAGAGAAAAAAAGGAUGAUGCGUAUAAGUAAAAAUUUUGCGGCUAAAUUCAUGGCCAUGAUUAUCUGUAUAAUUGGAAAUAGCUGUGCGGAAUCAUGAGAUGACACAUGUUUGGAGCAUUAAAUAUAGAGAGACGUGCGCCAAGUAACCCGUUAUAAGCAUGCAAAGAGAGUGAUAGUAAUUCCUGCCAAAAAGAGUAUUUCUACCAACUUUACGGUAAUAAAACAUUAUGUCAAUGAAAAGUAGGGGGACUAUCUGUAUAUGAUAAAAUAUGAUAUGACAUAUGGUCAUCUAAAGGAAGGACAUGUGGAACCCAAGACGGGGAUGUCAAAAGACCGAACAAAAGUAUUUUGCUAGUCACCAGAAGGGGUAACGUUAAUAAAGGUGUAUUAAAUGCUCUGCGCCUGGUAGGAUUUGAUAAAGAAUAUUCUUGCGGUAUUAAGAGCGUCAGCCCAUUACAAAAAAAAUUGGCAUUUAUGUUCUCCGUUACAUAUUCAUCAAUAAUUCUAAUAUAUGACAUUAAAGGAGGGCACGAUCCUAGGACCUAAUUCCCUAGACACAAGUAUAAAUAGUGAGCUCAGCUAUCAUUGCACGACACAAAAAUUUUCUAGCAUACUUACACUAUAUUUAAUACAAAGCUUACUACAAUCUCUCUCCUUUUAAUUUCAUUACUGUUGUGCCCGGAAAUCUUGUUCCCAGAACCGCCACUUCUUUCAUUUCGUCUAUAAUUUAAGGUUAAGUAUUGCACAAUUCUGCAAUUAUUUUAUUAUUUCAGGAUCAAAUUAGUUAAAUUGUACAGAAACCAUGUAUAAAUUCAACUGUACCAUUUUACGGGUAAACACUACCUAAUGCAAUUUUACCAAGAUUUGAAAGAGAUUAAGUUAUGUACGCCAUCGCUAUAGUUUUUUCUUAAAACAUCAAGUUGCUAAAAAGAUAUUUACUGGUAAGGUUGUUUAGAAUAAGAGUUUUGUCAUCUUGAAAAUAAAAAAGAAGAAAUUACCUGCGAUAACGAAUAAAGGUUAUCUGAUAAUGUUUAUAAAAUUCUUAUACGAACAGCAUAUAUAACUGAUCACGCCCAACUAUUCCUUAUAAAAAGAACUUUGCGGACGUUGCAAAUAUAACCUGAGUAUUCUGCCUAGAGUAGAAUCGACAGAGAGUUAACCUAUCAAUCGUUUUCUUUAGACGCAAUAAAUUCUUGAGAACCAGUUUCCACAAACGGUUGAAACACAGUUGAUGGUGUCGUUAAUAUCUAAAAUUGAAAGUAAAUAAACAGACGUAAACAAAGGAUGCUAAGGUUGUAAACAAUGACGAGAAAACGCUAAGGUAAGAACGCUAAGGUAAUGACUUUCCCUAUCGAUGAAAUCUCUUCUGUUUAUGCUUCAUAAAAUUAACCAACACCUCUCUAUCAAUCAUGAACACUAAUCUUACCAAAAAUAUCUCCCGAAUAAUCACAAUAAUAUACUAAAUGAACUCUCCUGAGAUACACUAGCUUGCUUUAGUUAACACAGUUCACUUUAGAUUGCACCCAAGGCUUUAUUAUCCCUAAUACCGCCUUUAAACCUGCAAUUAUUGAUCCUUAUAUACUGGGUCGAACGACGGUAGACUAUGUUCAGAGAGGGUAUUCCACCACGGUUUGACUGCGUUCGCAGUGGAACCGCAGUGAGCAAAGUUCAGAGAAGGUUUUCUGCUGCAAUUUGACCACGAUCGCUGGAACCGUGGUGUACAGAGUUCAUAGAGGGUCUCUGACCGCGAUCGUGGUGGAACUGAGGUAUGGGCAGUUGUCUGAUUUUUUUCAUUUUUUCUAUCAAUGUGUUAUACUCACAACAAUUUCGCGGGUUACCUCCUACGCAGCGCGUGAUUUAGCAUCAUGGCACGACGCAUGAUGAGCGCAUUUAGGGCUUGCUCGACCACUGUGGUUCAGUCAGGUGCAGCUCAGACACUUACUUUUUCUCGCUCAUGCCCACAUAUGGUUUCAAUCUUAGACCAUUGACUCUAAAUGUACGAGAGUCAUUCUCUGUGGUAAUCUCAACAGCUCCUGAAGGGUAAACUUCAACUAGUCGAAAUGGUCUAGACCAUCGUGACUUAAGCUUACUUGGGAACAAUAUUAGUCUUGAGUUAUAGAGAAAUACCAUGUUCCUAGGUUUAAAAUUCAGCUCAACAACGUUAUGGUUGUGCAGCCUCUUCAUUCUCUCUUUGUACGACCUUGUUCUCUCGAAACUAAGAUAUUUGAACUCCUCGAGCUCAUGCAAUUCAGUGACUCUUGACAUGCCCGUAGCUUCCAUAUCUAAGUUCAAUUGUUUCAUCGCCCACCACAAUUUAUGUUCCAGUUCCACCAGCAGGUGGCAGGCCUUCCAAAACGCCAACUUGAAUGGUGACAUACCGAUUGGAGUAUUGGAGGAAGUUUUGUAAUCCCAGAGUACAUCAUCUAGCUUCCUCACCCAAUCAGUUCUUGUGGCGUUCAUAGUUUUUGUUAACACACUCUUGAUUUCUCUGUUGGACACUUCAAACUAUCCACUAGUUUGCUGGUGGUAAAUAGUAGCCACCUUGUGGCGCACUUCGUACUUAGCAAGUAGCUUUUCAAAGAUCCUGUUGCAGAAAUGAGUACCUUCAUCACUGAUAAUUGCUCAUGGUGUCCCAAAGCGGGUGAAUAUGUUCUUCUUCAGAAAUCCCACCACCACUUUUUCAUCAUUGGUGGGUACCACAACAGCUUCCACCCAUUUGGAUACAUAGUCUACAGCAAAAAACAUGUACUUAUUUCCAUAGGAGCUAACGAAGGGACCCAUGAAGUCAAUUCUCCAGACGUCAAACACUUCCACUUCUUGAAUUGGGUUCAUCGGCAUCUUGUGGUGUCGGGAAAUGUUCCCGGUGCACUGACAUUCAUUGCAGCCUUCACCCAUAAGUGAGCCUCUUUAAACAGUAUUGGCCAGAAGAAUCCAGCCUCUAGCACCUUUGCCUCUGUCCUAACCCCUCCAAAGUGUCCACCUUACGCCGAUGUGUGACAAGCCUGCAAAACAUAGAAUUUCUCUUUCUCGGGGACGCAUCUCCAGAUCAUAUUUUCAAGACAUAUUUUAAACAAAUAAGGCUCAUCCCACUAAUACUGGAAGCUUUCAUGAAAAAAUCUUUUCCUUUGUACCGAUGAAAGGUCGUGAGGAACUAUACCACAGGCCAGGUAAUUAGCAAAGUCUGCAUACCAUGGCGCUUCCUGAUGAGUGGUGGCGAGCAGCUGCUCAUCUGGAAAAGUUUCCAGAAUUUCCUAAACAUCAACUGCAUUGUAAGCUCCCUCAAGUCAUCAUAGAUGAUCAGUAACUUGAUUCCUUGUGCCUUACGGUUACGUAUUUCAAGAUCGAAUUUUUGCAAUAGCAACACCCAACAAAUUAGGCAUGGGUUAGAUUCUUUCUUUUCUAUUAAGUACCUGAGUGUUGCAUCGUCAGUAUAUACAAUUACCUUGGACCCUAUUAGGUAGGAUCGGAACUUGUCAAAUGCAAACACUACCGCCAACAACUCCUUUUCAGUCACAGUGUAGUUCAACUGGGCUCCACUCACCAUUCUGCUAGCAAUAUAGAUUGGGUGCAUCAACUUGUCUUUCCGCCGGCCUAGCACUGCCUCCACUACAUAGUCAUUGGCAUCACACAUUAGUUCGAAUGGUUACUCCUAGUUGGGGGCAACAAUGAUGGGUGAUGUGACCAGUCUCUUUUUCAAUUCCUCAAAUGCUACCCUGUAAUCAUCAAAAAAACAAAUACGGGUGAUAUUUUUCUGACAACUUACAGCGAGGGUUGGCAAUUUUCGAGAAGUUCUUUAUGAACCUCUACUAAAGACCGGAAUGUCCAAGGAAGCUUCUUAUUGGUUUAACUAAAGUUUGUGGAGGAAGCAUUGCUAUAACAUCAACUUUCACGUGAUCCACCUCUAUUCCCUUGCAUGACACCCGGUGCCCCAAGGCUAUGCCUUCUUGUGCCAUGAAAUGGCACUUCUCCCAGUUCAAAACCAAGUUAGUCUCGAUGCACCGUUUCAUCACACACAUCAGAUUUAUCACGCACUCAUCAAAUGAAUUCCCCACCACUUAGAAGUAAUCCAUGAACACUUCCAUUAUGUCCUCAACCAUGUCAGUGAAUAUGGCCAUCAUAUACCGUUGGAAUGUGGCAGGUGCAUUACAUAGGCCAAAGGGCAUCUGUCUUAAGGCAUAAAUGCCAUACGGUCAUGUGAAGGAAGUAUUCUCUCUUUUCUCCGGUGCAAUGGAGAUCUGAUUAUACCCUAAGUACCCAUCCAGAAACCAAGAGUGUGAUCUCCCUACCAAUCUGUCCAACAUCUGAUCAAUGAAGGAAAGUGGGAAGUGGUCUUUCCUGGUUGCUAGAUUCAACUUUUGAUAGUCCACACAAAUUCUCCAGCCUGUAAUUAAUCUUGUUGAGAUCAACUCAUUGUUGUCAUUUGUCACAACCGUCAUGCCACCCUUUUUAGGAACAUAUUGAACUGGGCUAACCCAGCUGUUGUUGGAGAUCGGGAAAAUAAUUCUCGCAUCUAACCACUUUAUCACUUCCUUCUUCACCACUUCCUUCAUGUUGGGGUUCAGCCUCCUCUUAUGUUCCCUAGAAGGUUUGUCCCCCUCUUCCAACAUAAUCUUGUGCAUGCAGUAGGCGGGUUUUUCCUCUUGAUGUCUGCCACGGUUCACCCAAUGGCAAUUUCACACUCCUUCAGUACAUGUAAAAGUUUUUGAACCUGCACAUCUAACAAAUUAGAUGAAUAAUAACAGGUAGUGUGGAGUCAGUUCCCGGAAAUUCCUACCAGAGGUGGGCUGGCAAUGGCUUUAACUCUAGCUUUGGUGGUUCUUCCAUGGUUUGCUUAGCUGGAGCCAUUUAUCUCUUUUCUAAUUGAAAGGGCUCAAACUCAAGAUUUCUCUCCUAGAACCCUUUACCCUCUAAUUCCAUCACCCAUUUUUCCAAAUCCUCACUAUUACUUCAUCUAUGUUCAUCAAACAUGCAACAAGGGGGUCCUCAAUUGUCAACACAUCAUCAUGAGACUCUAGAAUUACAUCCACGCUAUCAAUAAAAGAGCAAUUGGUGAACUCGCUUGGUCGCCUCAUAGACUUCUGCACGUUGAAUGUUAUUUCUGCAUCAUUGAGUCUCAUUUUGAGCUACCCAUUCUCACAGUCAAUCAAAGAUUUCCCUGUGGCAAAGAAUGGUCUUCCUAUGAUUAUUAGAAUCUCUUCAUCCACUUUUCGAUCCAAAACCUGCAGGGAACAUAAAUUUGUCUACCUGAAUAAGCACAUCAUCAAGGAUACCAAAUGGACUCUUCACAGUCCUGUCGGCCAGCUUCAACAACAUGGAGGUGGGUCUUGCUCUUCAAAUGCUUAAACUCUUAUAGAUAGCCAAGGGCAUAAGAUUAAUGUCAGCCCCUAAAUCAUAGAGUGCCUUAGAAAAGACGAAAUUCUCAAUAGUGCAUGGAAUUGUAAAGCUACAUGGAUUAGACAGCUUUUCAAUAAUAGGUCUCAUCACCAUUGCACUACAGGUCUGAGUAAGUGUAACCGUAGCCAAGUUUUGAAAAUCAAAUUUCUAGGACAUCAAAUCCUUCGUCAUUUUGCGUACCCAUGCAUCUCCUUUAGUGCUUCAAUCAGUGGAAUAUUUACAUGGAUUAGUUUGAGCAUUUCAAAGAAGUUUUUAUACUCUCCUUCUUUUGAUGCUUGGCCAGCCUCUCUGGAAAGGGUGCAGGGGGUCUCUUCUUCCCAAUAAGUUGGGAAUUCUCUUUUUAUGAACUACUAUAUCAAAUACUGGCUCUUCAACUGGCUCCGCUACUUUCUCAGUAUUCUGCUGAAUGUUCUUUCCUUCCUGAGCAGGUUGGACUGUCACAUUUGUCAGUAUCAUAGACUCAUCCAGCUUAGUGGGCACUGGAAUGAGCGUCUCAUCCUGUAUAUUUUCUCGAGCUUUCUCUUGCUCUACAUCAAGAUCCCUACCAUAAUGGAGAUUCGCUGCCAUCAGCUGCAUUGGGCCUUAAUCUUUUAGAUUAAUCUGGGUGUCUGCAAGUAAUGCCCCUUGAGGACAAUCAUUCAAAGACAUUGAAACCUGGACCAAUUGCACUUCAAUAUUGUUGAUUGUUGUGUCAUGUGGAUCUACUCUUUCAUUUAUUUUUGCAUUGGACCCAAUAAGCUGCUGCAUCGUUGCUUCAAGUCUAGUGAACCCAUCUUCUUUUCUUCCACCAUGCUAUUGUGAGGUGGGGAUACCCUUGCUGCUGAUUGUUAUACCCUUGUGACCUUGGAUAGGGUGCCAUAUUGUUGGGGGGUCUCAUACCUCCCAUGCUUCAAGCGUUGUAUUGUGGCUGAGGAGGUCUGUAUGGCUGUUGAGUUUGCUGACCCCAGUCCUGAUUGCCCUGUCUCUGACCUCCACCGUUUGACAUAUAGUUCUUGUCUUCAGGGUGUUGCUGAUGAUGAUCAUGCUCUGUGUUCCAAGGAUUACCAAGUGGCUGACUAAUGCAAGAAGUGCACAAGCCCCCAUUGGUAAUAUCUACAAUAUGCACUUGUUGUUUUUGCCCUGAUUCCUCCACCUUUUUGGUGAGUAUGCGCAUCUGCGUCAGUAAGGUUGCCACAUCUUCAGCCAUGGAAUUUGAUGGAUCAAAAGGCACUUGCUGCACCACUAGAAUGAUAGGUGCAUUCCUAGUCGUCCACCCCGAAUUCUGAGCCAUUUUGUCAAGCAUACUCUGACCUUCUCACCAAGCUUUGCUCAAAAAUGCCGCACCAGCUGAGGCAUCUAAAAUGUUCUUCAUGCUAUCAGACAGUCCCACGUAGAACCGUUGUCCCAAUGUUUGAUCUGGAAUACCAUGGUGUGGACAUAUAACCAACAUUCCUUUAAACCGGAUCCACGUCUCAUGCAGUGUCUCCAUUGGUUUCUAUUUAAAGCUCACGAUCUCAUCAAUUUGUUGAGCUGUUUUGUUCGACGGAUGGAACUUGAAGUGAAAUUUCUUGGGAGAAAGGAUUGAAGAGGGAAACAAUAACAGUCUGAUUUCUUCCGGAGUUACGUUGGUUUUCCUUAGGUUUUGCAAAUCGACAGGAAGUUCUUCAAAUGCUGCCGAGGAUCUUUGGCUUGUGUCCUAGAAAAUAGUCCAUUGUUUUAUAACAAGUGCAGCACGUUAUUCGCAAUCUGGAACGAUUCAGCUUGUAUCGCAGACACAACAAUGGUAGUGGCCCGAUUUUCAGUUAUGGGUUGUGCCCAAUCAUAUAGUGCAACCUCAGGCAUAGGAAGUGCCAUUUCUAUGACGUUUCCGUCGAUGUUGUCUACGUCACCCAUGUCAAUUUCGAGUUGUUAGUUUGUUGGGAUUGUUGAAGUCUUUUGUUGUCACGGUUCAAUAUCCUGAAUGUUUUCUCAGGGUCUGAAUGUCCUUCUAGUAGUUUUCCAGUCCUCAUAGAGUUUAUAGGCAUAUACAUAUGCAACCACGUCAAAACCAUCACAAAAUUUUAUAUUUCUAUCAAUGGUGAUUGAUAAUUCCAUUAACUCCCUAGUAACGGUGCCAAAAUUUUGUCACACCCAACUAUGCCUUAUAAAUAGGACUUUGCGGGUGUUGCAAAUAUAACCUUAGUAUUCUGCCCAGAGUUGAAUCCACAGAGAGUUAACCUAUCAAUCACUAUCUUUAGACCCACUAAACUCUUGAGAACCAGUUUUCCAAAUUGUCUGAAACACAGUUGAUGGUGUCUUUAAUAAUUAAAAUUGCAAGUAAAUAAACAGAUGUAAACUAAGGAUGCUAAGGUUGCAAACAAUGAUGAGAAAAUACUAAGUUAAUGAUUUCCCCUAUUGAUGGAAUCCCUUCUAUUUACGCUUUAUAAAAAUUAACCAAUACCUCUCUAUCAAUCAUGAACGUUCAUCUUACCGUAUAUCACUCCCGAGUAAUCAUAGCAAUAUACUAAAUGCACUCUUCCGAGAUACAAGCUAGCUUUAAUUAACACGGUUCACUUUAGAUUGCACCCAAGGCUUCGUUAUCCCUAAUCCCGCCUUUAAACCCAUAGUUAUUGAUAGCUCAUAUACUUUGGGAGUGGUGUUGUUCAAUAAUAACCUAAAUAUGCACUCUCUCUAGAGUAAUGCACACUAAAUAGGCACAGCUAAUUGAGGAUCCUAUCAAUUAACUAUAACAAACACAAAGUUUAACAAAUAGAGAUUGAAACUAGCAAUUUCAGUUCACGUAACAAUAAGCUCAUCCCUCAAUAGGUUCCAUCAAAACCUUAGACAAGGGAUUUACUUACUCAUAACUAUGGGUAAAUAAGCUAAAACAAUAUUCAUCAUAAAACUUGCAUGAAAAAUCAAAGAAAAGAAGAAAAGAUGUUUUCGGUGAUCUCUCACAAUUGUUUUCCUUGCCAAAAAACUCUCCAAAUCAAUAGAUGCCUCUCUUGGGCAAAGUCUAGUGUUUAAAAUAGGGUUUUGUGUUAAAAAUCCCGUGUUUUGCACAUUAGUCCGUGAUGUUCUCCGCCUCCGCCACGGUUCUGCCGCGGUCAUGGCCAAACAUGCUCUCUGAUUGUCAUUUUUGUCUGCAGCCCUCUUCUACCGCGGUGGUGUCGUGGUUGCAGUGGAACCGCGUCAGUCCCCCUUCAUGCUUGGCUUGAGCUGUUCGCUUGGUUCACUUGGCGGAAUUUUACGAUUGACCUCUUUUUCUCCAUAUUUGAUCCCAAAAGUACUCCAUAGCCUUCUCUUGUCAUAUAUAGCAUGCAAAGCAUGAACAUCGCUAAUCAGAGCAUUUUGUUAUCACUUUUAUCAUCAAAACUAUAUAAAAAUGUGAUUAUUUAGGGCCUAAUUAUAGUAAAAUUCACCUAUUGCCAACAUAAUCUUAUUUUCAAGCACACAAAUCCCAUUCCACAUCUUUAGAGGAAGAGAGUGGGCAACCUUAGCUUUUCUCUCCAACAUUGACUAUCAUUGUAAUUGGAGGCAUUGCCAUUAGGAUUGGCCCCUAAGUAAGUCUUGGCUCAUUUCUGCACGAGUUUAACAGUAAAGUCUGAAGUAUAUUAUUUACUGAACACUUGAACAAGAGAAAAAUAAUCGUUUUGGCAUAAUAAAUCAAAUUUACCAACUAAUUAGGUAUACUCGUGUUUAUUUCAAAUUUUGCCCAAGAUUUUUCAGAAGCUUAUAAAACAGAAAAUGAUCCACGAAGUAAUGACGCAUUAGUUAAUUUUGUUAUUGAAUUGACCAAAAUCCUUUCAAAUUUGUCGUAUUAUUCACACAUGCCAUUUAUAUCAAAUCAAGCAUUAACCAUAAGUGUUAAAACUUAUUGAAGUUUCCUGCAUCCCAAGUGUCUCCAUCGGAUCGCUACCACUUAGGGGAAAAAAGGACAGUUCAUGUUUGCGGAAAGAUCGUGAGUUAGCUAGCACACAAUUACACACAAAGUAGAUAGAAAAGAAAAAUCAACACAAUGAUUUAAUAAGUUUCGGCUAUGUUUAAUCCUCGGGACAGAAGCAGAAAGAGUUUUUCACUGUGAAUGAAAAGAAAAGCACAAUACAAUCCAUAGAAUCCUAACUACAAUCUCGAUAUAUAGAUCUCAAAUAGUCUCAAACCUAUAAGAGAAAGGUUUUUCGAUUUGACAAGGACAAUAUGUUUUCCUUUCCCAAAUCUAUUAGGACAAAGGAUUUUCCAAAACCUAUAAGGAUCAUGGGUUUCCUAAAAAUAAAAGAAAACAAUUCAAGCUACAAAUAACAAAUCUUCCGCUUGUCUUGAAUUCUCUUCAUCAGCAGGAACAUUGUCACCCUACCUUGCCCUCAGCCCACGCAAGGGCAAUCUCUUCAGCCAUAACACUAAUCUAUGUACUCCAAAUAGCUUCUAGAUAGCUAUAACACUCAAACACAUCAACGGUCUCUGCAACUACCAAAGCAAAUCACACAGAACUCAUAUAUCCAAGAAGAUUUCUGCCAACUAUGUUUGCAAAAAUUUCCAAUCGGCUGAUCACUCUAUUCUCAAUGUCUUUUCCAAUGCCAUAUGGUUGUUGUUGCACAUGUGCAUUAAUAUUAUCGUUUUGAUAAAUAUUUUGCACAUUCUCUACUUCUUCUACUUUUAGAACUACUAUCCCGGGAGUAUUUUGAUCUGUGCACCAUAACCUAUAAUAUUUCACUCCAAUUGUGUUCUAUAGAAAUAUCUACUUCUUUACCCUUGGAUCGACUUUUUCAUUCUUCACAUGAGCAUAAGCAGGACAACCAAAUAUCCUUAAAUUUGAAUAAUAAGCAGAUGAACCAGACAUAACUCGAAAGGAGUUUUGAACUCAAUAGCUAGGGACGGAGAUCUGUUGACAAAAUAACAAGUUGUAUUGAUUGCUUUAGAACAAAAAUCCUCGCUAACACAUGAAUAUGAAAGCAUGUCUCGCGCCUGAUCACAAAGUAUUAUGUUCAUAUGUUUUGCAAUACCAUUAUGUUAUGGUGUUCCGAUACAAGUGCGGCGUAUCACUAUGCUCCCUUUUCUACAGAAGUUGUUGAACUCACUAUUUCAAUAUUACAACCUAUUCUCAGUCCGAAGAUGCUUAAGUUUUACUUUCAUCUACGUCUUAACCAUUGUCUUCCAUUAACAAAUAUAGGAAAUACCUCAUCUUUUGUUUUUCGGAAAAUACACACACACCAUCCUCGAGUAAUCAUCAAUCAAAGUAAUAAAAUACCUUGCACCGCUCUUGGAGGGAGCCUUGUUUGGACCCUGCAUGUCUGAAGGUAUAUAAUCUAACUUGUCUUUAGUCUUGUGCUCGACCUUAUUACUAAAAUUUACUCUUGUUUGUUUACCAAACACACAAUAAUCAUAAUAAUUUAAAACUUUAUUUUUGUACUCAUCCAGCAAAUUAUAUUUACUCAACAAAGAUAAUUGGUUAUCCCUCAUGUGACCAAGUUGCAAGUACCACAACUGAAACUGAUUCAAAUCACUUUUUCCAUAAGCUACAACAACUUUCCCUUCUGCUAUACUAGCCUGAAGAUGAUACAAUUUAGAAUACAAUUUACCCUUCAUGAUUACCAUGGAGCCUUUACACACUUUAAAUAUUCCAUCCUCGAAGUGAAACUGAUACCUUUAUUCAACCAAUGUCGAAAGAGAAAUUAAAUUUUUCUUUAUCCGAGGAAACUGAUAGUUCAAUAUUUUUGAUAAUUCCAUCGGACAUUCUCAACCUGAUGUCACUAAUUCCCUCUACUGGUAUUGGAUUAUGAUCUCCCACAAAGACAGUCCUACUCCUCUGCUUGUAAGUGGCAAUCCAAUUCUUGCAUUGACAUAUGUGGAAAGUAGCACCAGAAUUAAAAGCACAAGAAUUCUACCCAUGACAAGAACUCACGGCACAAACUUUCCCUACAUACUCACUACCGUCAGAAUUAUUGUCAGUGUCAACAAUACUUGCUGAUUUAUCUAAUUUUUUCUUCCUUUUUUUUCUUUUUCCACUUGGGAUAAUCUCUCUUGUAUUGGCCUUACUCUCUGAACUCAUAAUAGUUCUGCUUUCUUGCUUUAGACUUCGACCUGGCAAUUGACUUUUUCUGCUAAAGUUCUUUCAUUGUGUCUUGUCUCUACUUACAAGAUCCUUUGCCUCAAUUCGUCUGUCCAGAAAGCUCCUUUUCAACUAUUUUGAUUCUAGUGCAUUACUAACAUCUCUUAGUAAAAAGAUGUCUUUCCUAUAAAGCAGUGUAGCGGCAAAAAGUGUCAUAAGGCAGUGGUAAAGAACAUAACACGAUCAAUGUCUGAUCAUCACUCUCAAUUUUAAUAUCCACGUUCUUUAGGUCCAUUAUAACUGAAUUACACUCAUCAAUGUGAGUUUUGACAGGUGCAUUUCCACUCAUACGGAGAUUGUAUAAACUCUUUUUCAAGUAGAGGUUGUUUGUCAGCGAUUUCUUAGAAUACAUAUCUUCCAUCUUCUUCCAUGUUGUUCAUGCAUAAGCUUUUUCAACAAUUUCUCGAAUAAUAGUAUCUGUAACACUCAUGAAGUUCGUACUCAAAGCUAUCUGCUUCAGGUGUGCCUCCUCUGUCUUUCUCAUCUUGUUAGGAAAAUCCUCAUCAAUUGCAUUCCAUAACAUUUGUAACACUAGGGACGAUUUCAUCCUAAUCUUCUAUAUACUGAAACUGGAACACCCGUCAAAUUUCUACACUUCGUACAUUGUUGAAGAUGAUGAACAUAUCUUAACCCUAUAUUAUAUGUAGAACCCGAAUCUUGCUCUAAUACUAAUUAUUGCAGAAGAUCAUGAGUUAGCUAGAAUACAAUAACAUAUAAAGCACCUAGAGAAGGAAAAAUCAACACAAGAAUUAAACAAGGUUCAACUAAGCCAAUCCUCGGGGCAGAAAUAGAGAGUUUUUACUAUGAUAGGAAGAAAAGUACAAUACAAUCUAUAGCAUCCCCAACUACAACCCCUAUAAAUAGAUCCCAAAUGGUCUCAAACCUAUAAAUGAAAAGUUUCCCAAUUUGACAAGGACAAUAAGUUUUCCUUUCCCAAACCUAUUAGGACUAUGUAUUUUCUGAAAAUACAAGAAAAUAUUUCAAGCCACAAAUAAAAGUUCGGUGCACAAAACAUCUCACGUUCACGUGGGAUACGAGAAAAGGCUACACUCUAAAGGGGUACAGUGUAGGAAACUACCAUGGUACAAGUGCCAAUGGUUGAGUCCACGGCUCGAACUCAUGACUUAUCGAUCACAAGAAGACAAAUUUACUGUUGAUUCAGGGCUCCCUUUAUCACCUACGAAGAGCUUAAUUACAAUUUGCGUACAAGAUAAUAAUAAUUUAUGGCCAUAUGAAAUAGGAACAAUAAUUUCUUGCAAUAACACCUUGUUUUGUUGCCAUCUACCCUCUUCUUCAUUGAAUUUUUGCAUUGUUUUCAAACCAAAAGUAAGAAUCAGUGUGGUUUACUGCCGUUUGUUGAGUUUGACGAAGUUUUGUGAUAAUCGUUAUUGCUGUUAUUAUAGAAUAAUUUUUCCAUUUUCUAUCAUGGAAUGAAUUAAUCCAAUAACCUUGAGCAACAAUAAGGGGAUUAAAUUCCAUAAGGAAACAAAGUUUUCUCUGGGGCUUGGAGCUUUAAAAUCUUAUGUUUCUAUUUAUAUUUGUAUUUCUAUUUCUGUUUCUAUUUUACUUUUGCAUCAAUUAUUCAAACGUAGAUUAAUAAUAUGUUCAUACACUACCUUUCGCAGACCCUGUAUGGAAUUACACUGGGUACGUUGUUGUUGGUGGUGGUAGAUCUGCCUCUACAAAGAAACACAUUAUAUUAUACACUAAAUAAGAAAGAGACUAAUAACAGUGUUGAACUGUAUCAUCCAUACAAAAAUUAGGGACCAUUGCAUUUUGUCUGAAGUCUCUAGAGAUAUUUUACUUUUGAGUUGAGAUAUUUAUCUUCUUGAAGUAUGUUCAUCUCCAUCUUAAUUCUGGAAAAGGCUCCAUAAACAUACGAUAUUGUCUAUUAAAUUCUAACAUUUGAAGUUGCUAAUUCAUGACUAGUGAUAAUCAGUGUGCUGGUAAAUGCAACAUUGUUGUCCCCUAUAUUAAAUGGUGCAAAAAAACUUAGCAAAUGGUGAUCUAAAGCAGAUUACUGUUCUUUGUACGUAUGGUGGUAUUGACCUCGUCCCAAUGUGGUGGUAUGUCUCUUCGCCUAUUCUCCUUCUACCUCUAAUCAUUGGGAUGGGCUGGUGACUGUAUAUGGGGUUGGUACCGUAGCCAAGAGUGAUCAAUUCUUGAUAAUUCCUUUCUAACUUCACUGCUUGAUGCAGGGUUCAUGCCACAGCUCCAUUGGCGUGGAUCCAGGGUCGCCACAACAACAUAUUGUAAGGUGCCGGAACGUCUAUUACUUGAAAAUCAAUAUCGAACCAUGUUGGUCCCAUCUGUAAACACAUGCUGAUUUCCCCAAUGGUGGAUCUUUGGGACCCAUUGAAGUACUUGAUAUUGAUAACCCCAUCCUUGAUUUGUUACAAACCUUUCCCCAACUUCCUGAGAGUUUUCAGUGGACAAAUGUUAAGGCUGGAUUUUCUGUCGACCAAGAUUCUAGUGAUGAAGUAAUCUUCACAUUGCACGGUGAUGUGCAAUGCCUUGUUAUGACUAAGUCCUUCCGGUGGUUUCUCAUCACCGUAGAAGGUGAUCUUGUGACUCUCCAACACUUUUCCUACCAUAUUUUCCAUUUUUCCUCCAGUUAUGUUGCUGGGGACAUAAGAUUCACUCAAUAUUUUCAAAGCAUUCUUGUAUGCCUCAGAGCUUUGUAGAAGAGCCAGGAUGGAAAUCUGCGAUGGCAUUUUGUUCAAUUGCUCCACGACCGAGUAUUCUUUAGCUUGAAUUUUCAUCCAAAGGUCAUCGAGUCUAGUUUGAACAGGCUUUUCCGGAGGCUUGCUUGUUGGACUCAGCUAAGUGUUUAGGAGUGUAUACCGUACCCUCAAUUGGUCCUGGAAACUUUGCAGGAGGUGCUUCAAACUCGAGCGAUAUGCAUAUAUUCACCUCAUUGCCCUCAGAGGGCUGGAUCUGAACAACAAUAGGGUUGAGGGUGACUAUUGGCUUCUUCGGUUCAUCCCCUUCGCUAAUCAAUCCAAUUAACCCUUUAGGGUCCCAAAUCCUCGAUCUCGAUCAUGUGAAAGCCUCCACCCUUGUGUUCAGGUAGAGGAUUGUUGCGGACAUUGGGAGCGAGCUCCUUUUCUUUAAUGACCUUAUUAUCAAUCAACGUCUGAAUCUUAUCUUUUAGCGAGCGACAAUCGUCGAUGGUAUGGCCUUUCAUUCUGAAAUGGUAUGCGUAGGUUUUGUUUGGAAAUAUCCAUUGGGAGGGAUUUUCUGGAUUUAUUGCUGGGAUGGGGUAACGUAACUAGCUGCUUUGAGUCUUUCGUAUAGUUGGUCAAUAGUCUCUGAUAUGGCUGUAUAUUGUCUGGGAGGUCUUCAGGUGAAGUUUGGUCUAGGUCGAGGAAAGUUUUAGCGAGUGGGUGGUGAUUGAUAUUGUGAAGGUUGGGCAUUAUAGGAUUGGUACACGGAUGCGGGUUAGGAAUAUAUUAGUGAAGUGGGUUGAUAUGUAGGUGGUGGAGGUGAUUGGUAGGCGGGUGGUGGAAUUUGGUAUGUGGGUAUGGGUGCUUGUUGAUUUAAGAGAGGCUGAUAUGUAAGUGGAGUUGAGGGAUAUGAUUGGUAUUUCAUAGGAGACUUGGUUCUCUGCGCAGCCAUUAUGGAGUUGACAUCCUUCUGCUUUGACAUGCCACCAGACUGUAAAGCCUUAUUGGUGUCCUGUAAUGCUUCAAGAUUAGUUAUCAUACCAUUUUUAAUGCCCUCUUCAAUACUUUAGGGAAGGCUGAUAUGUGAGUAGAGUAAGAGGGUACGUUUAGUAUUUCAUUGGGGACUUGGUUCUCUGCGCAGCCAUUACGGAGUUCACUUCCUUCUUCUUUAACGUGCCACUAGACUGUAAAGCCUUGUUGGUGGCCCGUAAUACUUCAAGAUUAGUGACCAUCCAAUUUUUAAUUCCCUCUUCAAUCCUUUCUCCCAACUUGAUGGUAUUAGAGAAUUUUUGACCCCCUAUCAGCAUCAAUCUUUCAUAAUAUUGUGGAUCAUGAGCCUGGACAAAGAACCUUUCAUAUGCUCUUCUUCUAAGAUCGUCCUGACCUUAGCGGCUUCUGGCCUCCAAUGAGUAGCAUAUUCGUGAAAUGUUUCUGUGGGUUUCUUCUUCAGAGUCUGGAUAUAAAACACAUCUGGCGCGCGUUAAACCUUAACCGGUCCAUAAAGUCGGACGCUUUGCCUAUCAAGUUUUUCCAUUUCUUUGUGUCUUGGUUGAUAUACCAAGAUAAGGCGUCUCCUUUUACACUCAUCAUGAACAUCUUCAUGCGGAUUCUAUCAUCUCUUCCAACUCCGACCAACUUAUUGCAGUAUGUCCUUAGAUGGACCUUGGGAUCACACGUACCAUUGAAUAUUUCGAACUUGGGAGGUUUGUACCCCUCUGGGAGUUCAACAUCCGGCUGAAUGCAAUGAUCUUCAUAAUUCAGCACCUCGACACCUUUUCUAUCUUCGACACCCUGGACUGGGCUGUUUAACUUCUUGAGUUCUGCUGCGAUGUUUCUGAUAAGGGAGUCUUUAUUUUCUGAUUCAGAUGCCCUUGAGGUUUGUUGACUGUAGUAGGGUAUAGUGUCCACAAAGAUAGGAGUGUUUUGGAGGUGGUCGUUUGUGGUGUUUGGCGAUUCAAGAAUGAGUAGUGGAGUGUUAUUAGGAGCAUGGCAUGUGUAGCAGGGGUGAGCAUGAGUGGGUUGCAUUUGUGCUUUUGGGGUGUUCUAUGGAGGUACGGGCUUUUGGGUGUUGGCAGUAGGAGCGGCAAGAGAGAAUGAUAGGCUUGCAAGAUUUAGAACUUGGUCCAAUUCAUCUUGGAAUUUCAAAAGUUUCUGUUCAAUAGGAGCAGCAGUUCGCUCCUGAGAAGUUUCCUCCCUAUGAAUUUCCUUUCUAGCACUAGUGUCUCUCAUUCUACUUUUGUUCUUAUUUCUGAUAGGACUCGGAAGACGAGGAGGCGGAGGUCCCUUGGAACUUAUAGAGUACGUCGAUGGUACCAGAAUGCACGAACUAAACUAUUGGGAGGGGAAUAAAAAAUAAAAGAAAAACAAAAGGUAAAAAGGUUAGUGCGGAUUCUGAGAAAGAGAACAUUGUGAAAUUUAAACACAUUGUGCGAGAAUAUAAGUCGUGUCCUAAUUUGGGUGCCUCGUUGUCGUCUGAGGUAAGCCUAGCGACAAAUUAACUUUGGAGAAAUUAUGAUGCUAAAUGCCAUAUUUUAUUUUUAAAAUAAGACGAGUCUAAAAAAUGCAAUUUGAAAUAACGUAAAUAAAGACGUCACUAAUGGAAAGUGGCCUUAUUACGUUAUGAAGGCAGGAAAUAAAAGAUCCUAGCUACUUGGUCCCAGAAGGACCUUCUCCAGAUUUGGUAUUCUCGCCUCUCUCAUACAGUUGCAUCAACUCACGCAGUUCUAGCAGUAGAUAGGCUCGAGCCAGAUCUCCACUUGCACUUCCCUCGGCAUUUUGGCAGACUUCAAUCCUUUUCAAGAACAUUCCUUCCAUCUAUACUAGACCUCGUUCCAGAUACCCUACCCACUUGUUGGCGUUGACAACCAUAUCCUUCCACUCAUCGAUCAAUUUCUGGUGAGCUUCUUGUAUUUCCCGGUGUUGAUUUUCACACUCUCAAAUCCUUUUGCGUAGUUGAUUGUACUUAACCUACGCUUCAGACUUUUCGUAAAUAAGCCUGUGACCUCGGUCAAACCCAGGAUGACCAAAACCAGUGUGACAGUCUUCUAACCAAUCUGAGUAGUGCGGCACGCAGCCUGCAUGAUACAUGUCUGGCUCGAUUAUUAAAUCCCCAAGAUGCAUUUGCAAUGCCAUAUGUGCUGAGCAUGACAACUAUGAGGGCUAUCACCAUCCUGGAAGUCAGCCCUGAAGUGAUUUAUUUUGUUUACUCUUGGUAUGAUUUGCUUCCUCCCAGCUUGUCUCAUGGCUCGGAGAAGUACACAAUGAUAAGUUCCCCUCAGACCGAUGAGUAUGAGGAAUCGUGCAUCCUGAGAACGAACAAUGAACCCUCCUGUUGGGAACCACUCAUACAUCCACUGCACUUGAUCUUCCUUUAGAUUCUCAAAUAGCUCUACCCGUCCUCCAGCGUCCUCUGGCUGAGCGAAAAUGUUAGGCAUGAAGUUCAUUCGCCUUGGGUGGUGGAAAGCGAUAUGAUCAUCCCAAUCCCUGCGUAUAAUCUCCUGCCGGUAAUUCCAUCUUCCAACGUCCUCUGGUUGAGCGAACAUUUUGGGUAUGAAGUUCAUUCGCUUUGGGUAGUGGAAAGCAAUAUGAUCAUCCCAAUCCAUGCGUAUAAUCUUCUGUCGAUAGUCACCUUUCUAAAGGUGUUCUAUAAGCCAGAUUCGAAGUAACAAAUUACAACCUUCAAAGUGUUUGGCCCCAUGUUGACACUUUUUCAGGGCUCGAUAUAUCUGGGCGACGAUCAUGGGCACUAUACUGAAAAACUUCCUAUCAAUCCCUUCCAUCAAGGUAUUGGUUACCCUGGCUCGUCUGGUGUAGAUCCUAGCCUUCUUCACAGGAAAGAUUAUUAUCCCCAGGAAACAGAACAUGAAGACAAAAACCCUUCUGUGCAUGUGCCCUAAAGCGAUAAGGGAAAAUUCAUCGGUGUAGGUGCAGUAAGACUUGCUAUGGCCAUACCUUUCGUACAAGUAGUCAAAUGGUAUGUAGGAGAUUUUAAGACAAGUCAAAUCCAGAUUUUUCUUGUGUCCCGUCACCUUAAGAAAGCCUAUGCCUUUGCAAUUGUUCAGCAUAAGAAGACCCGGAAUCUCCCAAAGAAUACCAGCUAGACCCCCUAUUUUUUCCAGAAAAGGAGUCAUUUCCAAAUCCCCGAAGCGAAACGGACCGGUCACUAUCCCAGAAAAAAGUUGCAGCCUCUGCAUUUUGUUAUCAGGCUGGAUUUCUAGAAGUGAAGGUAAAUUCCCUAAGUAUUUGCGGACAAGGGUAUGAUCGGUGGCAUGAAGGUCCUCCCUCCAGCUUAGCAGCCUUGGGUCAAUGUUGGUUACCAUACCGAAUCUGCGGACUUCGUGCAUCAUUUUUCUGCAAAACAAAGGGUUAAACCCAUAUUCAACUAUUUAAAUCAACAAUAAGCAUAAUAGACAUUUAGUUCUCCAAAUAAAUGCACAGAACAUGAAGGUGUCCAUUUGGGUUUCAGGGAAACCCGAUGGACUUUGGAUUAGGGUAUCUUAAUGAGUCAUUAUGCAGACCGCAUAAUUGAUUCGACUAGCUUUGACCAUGAUGCAUGAACAGUUUGACAGAGCAAGGUUUCUACUUUUGAAGUGCAAGACUGGUACCCUUGAGCGGACAACUCAAGAGGGAAAGGCACGGAGCCAUCGACUACACCGUUGAUCGACAGGUUUUACCGCAAAUAUGCCUUUGCCAAAUUUAGGGGGGGAUGAUAUCGGAAAAGCACAACCACUUAUUAGAAGCGUUGUUAUAGGAUAUGUUUAGGCACGGGUGAGGUAUGAUGUUGAAGAUGCAAUUUUACAAGAAUGAAACAAAUUGACAUGUAUUUUCACGUACAUAAGAUAAAUGAUUACAAUAAAUGCUCGAUAUUACAACGGUAUUGAAAUAAUAAAGCAGUAAAGGAAAGCAGUUAAAGGAAAGAAAAGACAUGAAGAGCCAAGUUAGUUUCAGAAUGAAAUAAUUAAAAGGCAAGAAGUAAAGGCAAUUAAAGAAAUAAAGAAGUCACAAAUAAGAUGUAAUGGUAGAAAGACUAAAAACAUCCCCAGAAGAGUUUCCAUGCUAUCGACGCCCCCUCUUUCAUUGUGGACGAGAGUCGGAAAUCGGGUAUAUUAUGGGAGGAUAACUCUUACUCCCUUGUGAGAAUUGGGUUUUGGAGUUUUUGGAGAGUUGUCACCUAAUGAUUAUAGUGCAUUAGGACACUUUUAAUGGUAUGAAUAAAUUAAGAAGUAGAAAAUAGUUUGGGUAAGGGCUUAGAGAUUAUCUCGAGGGGAAAGUGUUAGGAACCCCUGAAGAUCCACUAGUGUGGUUCCCGGCCAUGCUAUAAUUGUGACAUUAGGAGAUAGAAGAAACAAAUAAGGUUUACAUAUACUAAUUACAAAUAAGUUUAAAGCUUUUAAAAGAAGAAAGGAAUAGAUUGUUUUUUAGAAAAGGAUUUAAUUGAAAGGAAACAGGACUUAAAGAAAACAUUGUAGAUAAAAACGAAAAGGGAAGGAGGUCCUAGGUUUAAACAUAAUAUGGAUCACAUCAAUGCAAUACCCAGCAAUCACUCCUCAUAAGAGGGGUCACACGUGCUAUUAGCACACUAGUCAACAUAUUCAUAUUCUACCCUUCGCACCCCAUUAAGGUAUUAAAGCGCGUUUACUCUCAAUUAGUUAUUGCAUGCUAGUACCCGUCCCAACUUAUCAGUCCCGGGGUAUUAGGACUUAUUAUCCUAAGAGGGAAGAAAGGGAUGGAGUUUAAACGAUAAAAGUCUACUUUCGACAUUCAAAACAAAUAGCAAAAUAACAGGAAGAGUAAGCAAAUAUGUAAGGCUCAAAUAAACCCCUUAAAUUUGACAAACACUUAGUUUAGUAUUUCUUGGCACAGACUGGUUUUCUCUUAAAUUAAAAUUAAGCGAUGAGCGGACUGGUUCAACACAUAUAUUUAGACAGAAAGUCUGCAUUAGGCAACUCGGAUACAGUUGUUAGAGGUUAAGGCAUUUUAAUGCGAGUUGUUUAUUGAUUUGUUAGAAGAUAGGCUAAUGCAGAAAAGUUUUUGAAAGAAAGGGCAGACUGCAGACUUAGUAAAUUGUUUAGAGAUGAAUUUUGGAAAAUGGAUCAGCGGACUGCCCAAUCAUAAAAAAUGGAAGUAGUUGUAAAAGAAUUUAAGAGAAAAAGAUAGAAUUUUUCUGAAGAAAAGAUUAAGUUGCAGAACAGAUUUAAACAACUAAUUAGGAACUUAGUUUAAAGAUACGUUUAGGCAGAACAAUAGAAAAACCUUUUCAGAAAAGAUGCAAACUUUGAAGAACUCGACUUUAAAAAAACAAAAUGUACACUGUUUUGAAGAGAAAUUUAUCAAAGGUUAAAGUUUCAAAAAAGAAUCACUGAGUUAGGCGUAUAAGAAAUGAUUAGACAAUUGUUACUGUUUUAAAACGGGCUAAUAAAUUUUGAUGCAAAUCCUAUAGGCAUGAUAUCUACGUUAUUGAUUUUCAGAACUUGUUUAAUGAACUUGUGAAAAGAUGCUUGUUUAAUCAAUCCUAGAGUUUUGCCUAAUGAAUAUGAAUAUUCUAUUGGCAUGAUCUCUAUAUGCGCUAAUUACAGAAUAUAAACGUUAAACCUUAUAGGCAUGGUCUCUAUGAAAUUUAAUCAAAAAUGUUAAACAAACCUAUGGGCAGAAUUUCUAGUAGAAGUAAAGUCCUAGAUCAUGAUAUCUAUCCUUUCAAUGCAAGAAAGUAAAAAACCCUCCCACACACUUUUACUAUAAUACCCGGGUUUUUAAACAAAUUAUUACAAACCAUAAAAGAAAUAUAAAAAAAUACAUCAAAAGCUAACGGCUACAUCCGUGAAGCCCAAUUCAACCUUAAUGUCCAAUAACAUGUGAUUAACCAAUUCCGGAAUCCAGAUUUCCAAAGCCUUCUCUUUAUCACAAGUGUUUCAAAGUUCCAAGGAAUCUCAGGGAAUCCCGGCAUUGCUUUCACCUAGGAGGCCAUUAGAAUUAGAAUAGUGCACCGUGGAAGAGCCAGCCCUCAGACAUCCAAGUUCCAAGGGAGCUCAGGGGUCCCAAAGCAUGGCUUGCAAGAGAGGGGCAGAACUUAUAUCGAAGAGUAAGUGCAAAGUGAAAAGGGAAUUGGGGAGCGAUACAAAUGGUGGUCAUGCCUAGAAACAACUAUAGGCUGGCACACCCCAGACCACUUGCUUGGUUAAAUAAGUUAGGAGCAGACCCUUAAAGGUCGGACCUAAGUCUAGAUAGUGAUUAGGACACCAUCAUACCCUAGUCCAAGGCUCAAACACAUAAAGGGGAAAGGGGAGUGGAAUUUAUUGAGUUAGGGGUUGAAAGAACCAGGUUCAGAGUCAUAGACAGCAAUGUUAAAGUGUUGCAAUGUCUUGAACAAUACUCACAAACAAAGGGGAAAAGGGAUAGGGAGGUCAAAUAGGAGAAAGAGUAACAAAGUUGCAUGAACACAAUUAAGAAGAACAUAAUAGAACUUAGGAUGUAAACACAUAGUGAAGGAGCUUAUUUAAACUAAGGAGAACAUACCAGUUGCAAAGUGGGAAUAAGAAGAAUAACAGAGCAAGCAAACAACUGAAACAAACUUAAAUUCUUAGCAGAAUACUUGAAGGCUUGAAGAGAACUCAAAGGUGUUUCAGAAAGCAAAGAGUAGACAUAUAGAGAAGAAGAGAGUAGAAAGUAGCGUGCAUAAUACUGUUGUGUGUGUAAGAAUGCAACUCAAGAGUCUUAUUCUAAUUGUGUUCUUUAUUUCACUGUUAACAAAGUGUCAUUUUAUAGUGUAGAAAACAAGUAGGAAGAGGUAAGAUAAUAACUUUGAAAAUCAGUCCCAAUUCCCUUCAGUCAAGAGAUUUUAUUUCAAAAGGGAUAAGGUAAUUAAGAAAAGAAAAUAACUAAAACCUUUUUCCAGAGUAACAUGAUAGGGGUAAAUACACAGAGACAUUAUUAAAGGCAAGAUUCUAGUAGUACACAGUUCGGAAAAAAUAAGGAAAGGCAAUCAAUCAGGAGCCAGUAAAAAUCAAAGUGACAGCUUCGUUUGACUGAACCAAGUGAAGAAAAAGGGAAGGGAAUGUUCAAUUAGAGAUAUCAAUAACAAUUAGUCGGGAAUCAUUAAAGGAAUUUGAAAUUAAUUAAUUAGUUGGAAAAGACCUUUUGAAGGAGGGGUUCUCAUAUAUAAAGCAUACACACAUGUGAGGCAAGAGAGAGUUGGGUUAACCAGAAAACUAACAUAGAAAAAGAAAUUGGAGUCAUAACAAAGAGGGUUUAGUUAAAAGACUCAUAAUGAGUCUAAGAGAGUCAAGGGUUCUGAAUAAAACCCUAGUCCAAACAUAAAAUCAAGCCUGCCAAAAUAAGAAAGUCUAAAAAUCAAUACAUGCCUCCUUUGGGCGAAGUCUAAUGUUUAAAAUAGGGUUUUGGGCUAAAAACUCCAUGUUUUGAACUUUAAUCCCUAAAAUGUCCACCUCCUGCCGCAGUUCUACUGCGGUCGCGGCCAAACAUUGCCUCUGAUUCUUCAAUUGUUUGCAUCUUAACUCUGCCGCGAUCGCAGUGAAAUCGCGAUGUUUCAGCCUGUUCCGUUUGGAAUUUGGAGAAAUGCCAAACAAGUAAGUUGUAUCCCUUUGAGUUAUAUUACCAACCAUAUAUUAUGGAGUCAAAAUGGAGUUAUGAGUAAAAAUUUAUGUGCAUUUAACUAGAUACUGAGCAAUAUGCCUCAUCGAGUCUUUGUUUGUUCUCAACUAUCAAAUUUGACCCCCGAACACGAUCCCGGCUUAAUUCCUUGAGCUUUUACUCAGAUUUCAAAGCAUCAAAUCACUUAAAUUCAUUCUGUAACAUCUAUAUAGCUCGGAAUCAAACCGACAUGGCAUAAAACACGCAAUUAGUGUACAAUACUAGUGAUUAAAGCGCAAACUCAACUAAAGUGCAGUAAAUUAGAGUAUAAUAAUCGACUAAAAUACGUAGUUAUAGAGUAUCAUCAGCACCCCACACUUAAACCAUUGCUCGUCCUCGAUUAAUCAAACUACACUUUAUAUAGACACGACCUUUUAAAAGCAAUUUUCCUAACUUAUCAAACGAAUAACAUUUAAAAUAGACUAACAAGAUUUGACUCACAAGUACAACGCAUUAUUCACAACUCACCCACUUACUCUAAUAUAAAGGUCACUGACAUUACCUUUACUUCAUGAAUUAAGUGCUCUUACAGAACAAAAAAGAGUAGUUCCACACAAUAAAAUAUAAGAAUACUUAGGAACUCAAGAUAGAAAGAAUUCACUCACUCUCAGAAAUAAGAUUCAUAUGACACAAAAGAUGCACCAUAAGCUUGCCCGUAGUGUACUACUCCACUAAUCGAUCUCAUUCAAUCUAGGAUUAAUUAGGACUUUAUUUUGUUGUAAUGUAGGCUACGCAACGGAUAGGAUAAAUUUAGGUAUAAGACUGACUCCACCUCCCUAAGUACUUUAAUACAUAUACUUUAACAUUCAAACCCCAUACUUAUGUCAAACCAAACUCCACCUUCACAUCAAUAUAUAUCAACUCCCAAAUUAUUUAAGCACAAUUAUAUCAAGAGUCAGCACUAUCAAGAAUAUUUUCUUUUCCUUUUUGUUUUCAAUUCAAGUGGCUCUUGCUUUUUCAAAUCAGUGCACAUUUCUCCUUAUUUCAUUGGUUCCAUCAAAAGCCAUUCCAACCACCUCACACUUUAACUUUUAGAAAGUUCAUAACAAUUCAAGUGCUCAUGAGAGGUUAUAAUGGAUCAAAUAGAUGGUUAAUUCAAAAAAAUGGGUAAGGCUUGUAAUGUGGUUGCCAAAGAAACUAGAUUACAGGCUCAAUGGGGUUAACUACGAUACGAAACAAUUAGGCGGGAAAACUUUACAUAUCUGGCUCAACAAAGAAACACCUAUAUCACUCUCAAGACUGAACAAAACUACUAUUUUGCUUUGCAAACACACAAGGCAAGCUCUAGACUUCAAAUGCAAUGCACAUAAUUCAACAAACCUCACACAGGCAUGUCAAUUAACACACUGAGGAUUGGAUCCAUCAAGACACUCUAGUCAAAGCAGUUGAGCAAAGUUAAGUUAAUACAAUUUAAGAUACUUCUACAAGAGUCAAAAAUUGAGCCUAAGCGUCAGAACCAAAGUUCUCACUAUUCUCAAGGCAUAACAAAGUCAAGAGAUAUUUCUUCUCUUCAAAACACAACACAAUGGCUCCUACUCCCAAUAAAAACUAACUACACCCAGUUCAAAUAAAAUCCUGGGAAAAGAACCGUGGUUUAAAGAAAAACCAAAGGGGAAUUACUACACUACCUAGAAAAUAACAAUAAAAUAAAAUAAAAAUAAGCUACAUGGACUACUUCCCUAAAGCGUAAUGUCCAAGUGGUAUGUCCUCAAGAAGAGUCCUCUACCUUUGUUUGUUUAUUUUUGUUUUUUUUUAGAUCCAACUUUGACCCUCAAGAGACCCGUUGACAAGCGUCUGUCGUUGGGCCUAGUCAGUUAUUCCUAUUGUGAGUACAGUCAACUAUACGCAACAACACAUAUACUAUAUUACAAAAUGUUCCAUGUCUAUGUACACUACCAUACAGUAUCAAGGAAAGUCUCCCACCCCACACUUAAAAUUGUGCAUUGUCCUAAAUUCACACCAUACUAAUAAGAGGGUAAAAGAAACUUCCUGGUAGGCAAAAGGCAGCUCAUGGGGUAGUCACACUUCUCCCAAUCUUGGUCCUCCAUGGGAGUACCUCACACUUAGUUCAAACCAAGGGUUUGUUGUUACAUCCUUCUAAUGGCUUGGUGCUUCAUGUUCCUAAAAAUAAAAAGUGCACACUACAAGAAUAAUACAAUAAUAAACAAAAAUAAAAUAAAAUUGGGUUGCCUCCCAACAAGCGCUUGAUUUAAAGUUGCGGCACGACGCAAACAAUUUUUACCACUUUUCUCGCCACUUGGACGAUAUGAACUGUGCAUUUAGCUUGGAAUCAAGCUUGUGACCACAAGCGAUAGGGGGUGGUUAGUUGAUAAUUGAGCCGAGCCUUAAAUUCUUCAUUUUGUACUUCUUGACUCUCAUAUGAGGAAUAUCAUUUUGGUUUUGUGUUUCCCCAAAUUGUAAAUUUAAUGGUUGUUCCUUUCCUCCUCGCAGUCCCUCACGGACUCAUGUAGUUCAUUUUUAUAUCACUACACAAUUCCAAUGUUGAAAAAAUACUUGGAAUGUGACUUCAAACUUUCAUUUUGUAAUUUUUCUAUUCUAACAUCUUCUUAUUCCCCCGAACUAGAGUUAUUCUCAACCAGAUUUUUAUUUACACCGGUCGAUUCUAAGUCAGUUUUCCUCGGCAUUACUGGUACUCAUGGGGUCGGUCAACGAAGGUUCAAUUCUUGACUCUUAAAAUUUUAGCUCACAUUCUUCCUCAUUUUCAAGAAUGGUCUCCAACAUGAGUAUUAUUUUCUCAUUUUGGGCAUUUGAGAGUUCUUGGUUUUGAUUAAGUGCCAAGGAAUUUUGGAGACUAUUUUCUAAAAGCUCCUACAAGGCACUUUGUUCCUUGUGUACUCUUUCAAGUAGCACUCCAACAUAAGCUUGAACUCUCCCUUUUGGUCAUGCUAAACUUGUUCAAAUUUGUUAGCCCUAUCAUUUUCAUCAAAAAAAAUAGAAUCAUCAUAGCGGGGGCUUGGGGAAGGGAAGGACCAAUCAACGCAAUCAUCCAAUGACUAUUUUGAAAACAACACUUAUCACGAAUACUCCAUUUAUGGGUUUGAGAUUGUGCGCAUAAUCCACCACCGGGAGAAUUUAAUAAUUUUUCCACGAGUGUGGUCCUCCACAAUAAAGACAAGGGUCAUCGCAGUAUGAACAACUACCAUCCCACCAAUUUUUAUUAUAUGAUGCCAUUUUUCAAAACUAAGAAAAUAAACAUGACCCAAACAAUAAAAAUAGACUAAGGUAAAAAAUUUAAUUACACAAAAAUUCCCAAGUUGAGUGUAGAGAAUUGACCACACUAAGAAUUUUGUAUUUCUAUCUCAAACAAUAAAAAUAGACUAAUGUAAGAAAAAUUAAUUACACAAAUUUUCAUAAGUUAGGUAUAGAGAAAACUGACCACAUUAAGAAAAUUUUGUAUUUCUAUCAAUAGAAAUUGAUAAUUCCGUUAACUCCCUGGCAACGGUGCCAAAAUUUGAUCAUCCCCUACUAUGCCUUAUAAACAUGGACACUACGGACGUUGCAAAUAUAACCAAAGUAUUACGCCCAGGGUCGAAUCCACAGAGAGUUAACCUAUCAAUCACAAUCUUUACACCCACUAAACUCUUAAGAACCAGUUUGCCAAAUGUUUGAUUCACAGUUGAUGAUUUCUUUAGUAACUAAAAUUGGAAGUAAAUUAAACAGCUGUAAACUAAAAUGCUAAGGUUGUAAAUAAUGAUGAAGAAAAAGUUAAGGUCAAGAUUUCCCUUAUUGAUGCAAUCCCUUGUGUUUAUGCUUCAUACAAAUUUACCAACACACCUCUAUCAAUCAUGAACACUCGUCUCACCAUAAAUAUCUCCCGAGUAAUUACAAUAAAAUAAGGUUUACAUAUAGUAAUUACAAAUAAGUAGUCUCAUACUAAACUUAACAAUGCCAAGUACAAACAUGCAAUUCAAGAUAAGCAAACAAAUUACACAGAGUAUCUAUACAACACAAACAAAAAAUUUCAAUGGGCAAUACCUUUGUUCCAAUGAAUGACCUUUGCCAAUUUAAAGCAAACUUGACUCAACCUUCUCUUGAUGUGGAAGAAUACAUUUCAUCACUGAAAAAUUUACCUCAAACUUCUUGAGAGGCAUUUCCUCAUUGUAUGCUCUCAUUAACCUUUUGAUUUCCUAGGUACCUCAAUUUCACUCAAUUCAAGCUUCAGGUUUCUCAUAAUACAUGAAUCAUUACUUUUUUCUCAAAUGCCUUUUUUACCACGUUCAACACUAUGUCAUUGCUCAUGAUUAACUAACAUUCGUGACUAGGCUAAGAAUUAUGGUGCAUGUCAUGUCAUUAGAGUUAGCAUGAAAGAACUGUAAAAGAAAAAGUGACCUAAACAAAAACUAACUAGAACUAACAGAAAACAGGAGAUUGCAUUAGACAGAUGAAGAAUAGGGUUUGAACAAAACAAACAAAAUAGACAUGGGUUACAACCCUGGAACAAUCCUAGAUAACAGUAGACGAAUAAUAAAACAAACUAUGCAAAAAGAAGAGGAGUUUGAACCGUAAGACAAUAUAUGGAUUACAACCCUGAAAUAACUCGGACAAACAGAAAUGACAACAAAAUAAGCCACCAAAACUCCUCCCUGGCUAGCCAAGAAUGGAGUGUAUUUCCAAUUGCCUAGCUUGACAUCUUAGCCACUGGAUUGCACAUCAAUAUUACCAAAACCUCCACAAAUAUCCAUCAUGUUGACCUCAGCAAAUAAAGUUUGCGUCCCUUUUGCCAACUCGCUCUUACGAUCAACCUCUGGAACCGAGACUGAUAGCACUGAAAACUUUACGGUAGGUGGCCCCCCAUUGGAUUCAGAAGAGUUCUCAUAUUCCUUUUUCACACGAAUCAUGCCCACCACAUACGUCUCAUUAUUAACAGGCAAAGGACUUUGGCUAGUAUCUGCUGCAUUUGGAUUUUGCACGGUAAUGCACCUGCAUCAAUAAGCUUUUGCACUGCUCUGUUUAGAUGCUAACAUUUUUCUAUGCCGUGCCCUGGGGCAUUAGAGCAAUGUGUGCACCUUUGAGAAGAAUCAAAAUUCUUUGGAAGGAGCUUCGAUAUUUUUGUCUGAAUAGGCUUCAGCAUGUCCAAUUGCCUCAGCCUUUGGAAUAAACUAGCAUAUGAUUUUCCAAUAGGAGUGAACCACUGUUCUCUUUGCCGCUGCCUUUUCAUUUUGUACUCUGACCUUGGUUGGAACCACUUUCGGAUAGGGGGUUGAUAUGCUUGUAGAGGUGGGUAAGACAUUUGUGGAGGCGGUGCAAGCCGUUGUGGGUUUUUUGGGUGUGGAGCAUACGACGGUGCAUUGUGGAUAGAGUACUGGGGAGGUGAGGUAUGGCUUCGGGGAUUCUGUGGAGGAAAGUAGCAUUGGGGAGGAUUAUCUGGAGUAUGCGGACAUUUAUUAGGCCGGCAUUGAGGUCGAAAGAACUUAGAAGGAAUGCUCACGAGAUUUUGUUGUUGGCUGGGCUCGACAACAUCUUUUCUAUCAAUUGGAGGACUGAUCCCAACAACCUAUUCGUUCCAUUUGAACAAAAACUCCCUAAGGCCUUCAUUGGGUCUCUUUCCUUGGGCAUCGGGGACUUUGAACACAUUCUCGCUAGAGGAUCGCGGAAGAGCACCUGGUGGAGGAGCUACAAAAAUAGGAGCAGAUGUCGGAGCAAGGUAUGAGGUUGUUUUGUCUGAUGGAGCAUGAAAUAUUUGGGAGGAAGUCCCUUGGUAAUUGUGGUAAGGGGUGAAGCCUGGUGCAUGUAUAGUUUUCUGUAUAUUUGGUAGGGAAUGAAGGUGGAGGGUGCUCGCUGACCCAUGACGGAUACACUUCUGCCAUCUGUUGUUUCAAAUUUUGGACAUCCUCUUUCUAUUCGGAUUUUGACUUUUCAAUUUCCCUCGACGUGUCAACCACUCUUGUGUCUGUUUGUUUGCUGGACGUGACUACCUUGUGCUUUCUUGUGUUGUGUGGACUAAUAACCAAAGUACCACAAACUAAUUACCCUCUGUUGCAAUGACAGUAACAAAGAGAAGAAAAACAAAGUCAACAUGUUAGCGUUAGAGCAUUUAUCAGAUUGAAAUAUCACGUUGCAUGCAAUGCCUCUAGAAACAAGUAAUGGUUCUAGAAUGGCUUCGAGGGUCACAAGGUCAUUUGGCAUCAUCCCAAUUUUGUUCACUUCUUGCCCCUUUUCCUCUUCAUUUUUCUCUUUAACCCUUCUUGGUUUUUCAUUUUCUUUCCCCCCUCUUUUUUUCUCUGAUUAUUGCUUUUUUUUACAUGCACAAUUUCAUCUUUUUUUCUUUUUUUCUUUUUUUUCUUUUUUAAUAAUGAUUCGAUCGAACCCUAUGUAGGUUGCCUACGUAUCAUGUCCCUCAUGAAUCAGAUCAUGCGUAGUUCUUGAAACGUAAUAAACAAAAUAAACUAAGAAAUAAAAGUCUUUUUGAAUUUUUCAUUUGUGACUAUUUGUCAUAUACAAAUGGAAAGUAAUAUAACAAAAGACUUGAAAAUUUUAGCUUGACUGACAUACCUGAUACUGCUAUACAAGAUUAAUAAUUAAAGACAACAUGAAUGACAGACUCAAAAUAUAAAAGCAUCUAUAAGUAGCUCCUAAAUGCACGUGGUCGUGGGGUUGUUAUGCUCAAAAUCUAGAAAAUUUCUCCAUACCUGAAUGGAAAAAAUAUGAUCAAACAGAGUUAGUGACCGAAGACAUAUGUGACGCCACAAUUUCCUACGGGAGGGAUAGACUAUUUUUGCAAAAUGGUCUGAGGGGCCAAAAGUGGCUAAAAAUGCAAACUCAAGAAAGCCGACCUUAUAAUCAUGGGAAUACCUCACUAAAGCCUAUAUGGAUUCUAACUUUUAAAAAUCAUGGCCCAAAAUUGAUUUGCAAAAAUGACCCAUUUCACAAAAACGAUCGAUAUGGCCAGAAGUGGCAAAAGAUGCAAACUCAAAAGGAAAGACCUUAAAAUAAUAUGACAUCUAGUUUUAGACUCAAAAUCUUAAGACAUAGGUUAUUGAACCACUUUUUCGAAAAUGAUCAUAUUUUGCAAGAAUGGCCGAUGAGGCCAAAAAUGGCUAGACAUGCAAGAUUUGCCUAAGACCCCGCAAAGCCAAGAACCUAAGAUACUAGGAAGAUCGGACCCUAUGUGGGUUGCCUACGUAUCUCGCCAUGAAAGACGAGAAUCAAGUUUGCGUAGUUCGGGAAGAUUAAAUAUAGGAUAGAAUUCAGAAAAAUAUAUCUAAUUUGAAAAAAGAGACCAUUUUUGGUUUUUCAGAAAAAUAAAUGAUGGAAAAUGCAACAUCUUUUUAUUUUCAUUUUUCUCUUCUUUUUUUUUUGAAUUUUUGGAGAAAGAUGGGAAAAUGUAAAACCUUUUUGCAUUUUCUAUUUUUGGAAAACAAUGGAAAAGUGUAAAAUCUUUUUAGGAUUUUCUUUUUUUUUUAUUGCCCUUUUUGGAAGAUAAAGGAAAAGUGUAAAAUAUUUUUGGAUUUUCAAUUUUUUUGAAAUAAUAUAAAAGUAUAAAAUAUUUUUUGGAUUUUCAUUUUCUACUUUUUGAAUUUUGAAAAAUAAUGUUAAAUCUUUUUGCAUUUUUCAUUUUGUACUUUUUUUUUUUUUGAAAAAUAAUUGUAGAGUGUAAAAUCUUUUUGGAUUUUUCAUUUUCUACUUUUCUUUGAAUUUUUGAAAAAUAAUGGAAGAGUGUAAAAUCUUUUUAGAUUUUCUAAUUUUCAUUUUCUUUUGAUUUUUGAAAAACUAUGAAAGAAAAAUGUGGGUGGGCCCUGCUUUCUUCAUUUUUCACCCUUCUUUCAUAAACAACGGUCCGCCAAGUGACCUUUUUUCCCUCAAAGAUGCAACAUUUAGCACGUAGGAUGAUUAAAUAUCAUUUUGGGCCACGAGCCCAUUUUGACAAAAUUUGGACAGGCUCCUUACAAAGGGACACUGUACCUGGGACUGAGCCCUACUAGGUGCAAAUGACAUGAUGCAAAUAAAAAAGACCUAAAGGCUGGCCUAAGUUUGGGGUUCACUAACAAGGCAAUUCGGGGGAGCGUAUGGUCGAUAGUGGCUGCUUAGGAUUUCCACCCACUCCAUACGUCCGACGGCCCCCCUCCUAAAUUAAGGGUGACUCAACAAAGAGUUUGUGCACGCGGCGCGUGCUCCGAGACUUGUUGCAGAAAGAAUUGACCGGGUAAUGCAUAUAAUGGCAGUUAUAAAGCAGUAAACACAUAAAGCAAAACUGUAAAAACAUAAACAACCUGCAAAUGACAAAACAUAAAACAUAAAAUAAAUUGAGCAAAGCUAAAUAAAAAAAACAUAAAAAAACUCGACCAAAUUUUCUAAAAGCCAACAAAAUCGAGUACUAGCUCGAACCCGCGAGUGUCCCCACCAGAGUCGACAGAGAUGUCACACCCCCUUUUUGGCAAAACACCACUCUACUUAAACCCUCUUAAAUAAAUAAAAAGAUUUUUGUAAAAGUUUGAAAAGGUUUUUUCAAAACAAAAAUUAGUUCAAAAGGAAAUAAACUCAGAGUCGCCACCAGAUAUUUGAUUUUGGUGUUCCGGGUCACCGUUUUUUUAAAGUAAUUUUUCCAUUUAAAACACUCGAGACUCUAAAACUAAGUCUACACCAGAGAUUCGGGUAAGGGGGUUCAAUUGACUCGGGGAGAAGGUAUUGGGCAUUCCCCAAGUCCCGUAGCUAGUACGGUUGUGUACAUAAUCUAGUUGGCUUUCAAAACAUUCAAGUUGAGGUAAAACACACAGAAAUAAAAUAAACACACAAGAGGCUCGAGGUCGUCCCCGCCUAAUAAAAGAAAAAUAAAACAAAAUGAAAUAAGUCUUGCUAGCCUAUACUACGCCUUCAUUGAUGUUGCCACAACUUCCAUUUACAUUUACUUCGGGGCAUUCCCCUAUUUAAAAUAUAUAAAAAUUUCAUGGGGCAUUCCCCGGAUAAAUUUAACUAAGAGACAACCUCUCACCUUGUAUCCUAACAUUGUAAAUUAAAAUAAACUUCCUAAAAAAUUUCCUACCGAACGCCAGCGGACCUAAACAUGUUACUAUGAUAGAGCAACAAAUAUUCCGAUUAAAAUUUUAUUUCAUUUAAUUAAGUAGACAAGUGUGCAUUAGUUUUAAUACGAUCCGCACAAAUGAACAUUCAAGUAAAUCGCAGAAAAGCAACUCAUUUUCACAAAUAAACAUGUCUUCUCGCUCAAAACUAGAUUCAAUUUGGAGCUUAGUAUCCAAGAACAUAACUUAAUACAAUUAUAAAGUACCUACCAAAAUAAAAAUUAUAAAACAUUUAGGCAAAGAAAUGAAACAGAGCACACAUUAUGAAAGAAAGUUCAACGAAACUCAUCGCUACUCGAAAAUUGCAGAACCGUACCUACCAGCACUCGAAACCAACACAAAAACUAUAAAACUACAAGUUAUGCAUCAAAUCACUUAACAACUAAUGAAUCUCACAGUUCCUAAAUCCUUUUAAUGAAGGUACCAAAUCAUAGUUAAUCACACAAAAAGAAGCGAGGGAAAGAAGUGAACUGAAAUUGUUUUUGAUUAGUAGAAUUUCGGCAAUUACAUCAAAUGAAUUGAGUAGCUGAUGCACAAGUCCGGGUAUUUCAGCAAGAAAACUUCAACGGGACAACCGACUUCGACCGGAAACCCCAAUGGAAAUGAACUUCAGCUCAACUACAUCUUCAAUCAAACUCCAUUUUUGGAACAAGAAUCCGAAACCAAACUUUUCUAAACCUAGCUGCUUUCCUUCUCAUCACUCCUUCUCUAUCUCGAUUGUGCGUGUGUGUGUGGUUGUUUGGCAACGGGGCUGGUAGGUCGACUGGCAUGAACACCCGAUGGAGAAAAAUGGACUGGUAACGCUGGUUUUGUGGUGUUAGAGUCAAGGAUUUUGGUUUUGUUGUUGAUGAAGAUCGAUGGGGGAGGGUCCGUAUAUGUGUCUUGCGGCUACUCUAUCUCUAGGUCUUGCUAUGUGUUCCUCCAUCGUUAACUGAAGAAGAAGAUAGUGUGUCUUUAAGGGGUAAAGGGUUGUGAAGAUUGAGCUCAGUUAUUUUGGGCUCAUGAAAUUGGACAAAAAGAAAAAAUAUUCAAAACUUAGCUAAACACCUUUUAAUAUAAGCUAAAUAUACUACAUAUUAUAAAAAUGAAUCGAAUUAAUUAAACUAAAUGAUGUAUAAACUAUGAAACUAUUUUUUAUAUUUUUCAAAUGUCAAACUAAAAUAAUAAUAUAAUAAUCGCAAAGUUAAAAUAAUACUAGUACCAAAAAUACUAAUAUCCUAGAAAAUAAAGUGCAACUAUUUUUUCUAUUUUUGACUUUUAUAUAAGGUAGAUAAACUAAAAGUAAAAAAAAAUAUCAAUUACAUAAAUAAAAGAAAAUAUUUUUCUAAUUUUUGUUUUUGUGCAAAAUAAAGUAAAAUAGUUAAAAUUAGGUAAAAUAGCGAUAUUACGCUCAAACUAAAUAUCUAAAAGCUAAAAUGAGUAAAAUCUCGGGGAGGGUCAAAAAUCACAUGUCUGCAGCGGGGAGUCGAAUCGAUUUAGGAGAGGAGUGAGACACUUAGUUUCUUAGAUUGGUUAUUUAGUUGGAAAAGUUAAUUGGAAGUUGAUUUUGGGUAAAUGAUCUCGGAAUUGGGUUUCAAUUGUUCGGUAAGCUUCUAUAGGUGAUUUGGGACUUAGGAGUGGGUUCGAAUUUUAUUCGGAGCUUCGUGGCAGAAUCAGUCUUGAAUUAGCAAAAUUAAAUUUUUGGCAAGUUUUGAUCGGCAGUGAAAAAUUAGCAAUCGGGUUUGGAAUGGAGCUCCGAAAGUUAGAAUAGGUUCGUAGUGUCGUUUGUGAGGUGUGUUCAAAAUUUCAAGUAAUUUUGACGUGGUUUGGUUGGUUUUGGGAUCGUUGGUGAAUUUUGGAAGUUUAGAAAUCCUUAGGCUUCAGGGUUGAAUCAGUGUUUUAAUGUCGUUUUGAGCAUUCUGAAGGUUCGACUAAAUCCGUGUGAUGAUUUGUGACAUGCUGGUAUAUUACGUUGAGGCCUUGAGGGGCUCGGGAUGAUUUUAAAUGACCAUCGGAAUCUUUAAACUUGGGAAAUUGCAGUUGGUGCUGUUAUUCUAGUGUGACUGCACCUAUGGAUUCGGAGCCACAAGUGCGAGCUCUACAGGAGCGGAAAGCAGGUGGAGGUGCGUGGAGAACCGUAGGUGCGGCUUGGUACACCACAUACGCUUUUUCCACAGAUGCGAUAAGGCGACAACAGAUGCGAGAGCUGGCAAGUUAACUGAAAUCCACAUAACCAGGUAUUUUUUCGCAGGCGCGGUAGCCCAGGUGCGCUUAUGGGGUUGCAGGUGAGAAACCACUGGAGUAGAAAGUAUAUAAGGACUCUUUACGAAUUUUGGCCAUUCUUCAAAAUUUCAACUCGGUUUUUGGAGCUUUUGGAGGGUUUUGAAGAGGGAAUCAAGGGAAAACUUAUUGAGGUAAGAUUUGUGAACUUAAUACUCGAUUCUAUGGUGAAUUUUCAGUAGAUUAAGCAUGGAAUUCAUGGGAUUUAAGGGUGAAAAUUGGUGAAUUAGGGUUUGGAACUUGAGAGUUAAAAUUGGGUGAUUAGGGGGUCAAACAAGGUUAGAUUUUGGUAUGUAUGGACCCGUUAGAGGAUAAGGAUUCUAGUUUUGUAAUUUUUAUUGGAUUUCGAGAUGUAGGCCAAGGGGUCGGGUUUGGCCGAUUUUGAGAAUUUUGAUUUAAUUUGAUAAUUUUCGCAUGGACUUUGUUCCUUUAGCAUGUAUUGAUUAUAUGAUUCUGAUUUUGGAUAGAUUCGGGACGAUUUGAGGCCGAGUCGAGCGACAAGGGUAUCACGGAGCAGAUUUUCGUCCGGUUUGAGGUAAGUAACGAAUGUAAACCUUGACCAGAGGGUAAAAAAUCCUAGAAUCUCAUACUAUUUUGACAAAUAAGGUGACGCACAUGCUGGGUGACGGGUGUGUGGGCGUGCACUAAUAGGGAUUGUGACUUGGUUCGUCCGGUGGCAACUGUAGAGUUGCAUAUUUUGAUAAACUUUAUAUGAUAUCUAUGUGUUUUAAAAAUGAUUUUGUUAACUUGGGCUGAAUGCCAUGUUUGGGGCCUUGUGCCGUGCUAUUUGGACCCUCGGGGGUAUGUUACUAAUAUCCUCGCAUUAUUUCGAUAGAGAACAUAAUCCUUAGUCAUGAUUUAUACUUGUUUAUUAUUUAAUCUUGUUCAUCACUCUAUUUCUAACAUAUGGAAGUUGUUCUGGGAUGAGUUCCCUGAGUUUGUAUUGAAAUGCUUGAGUGGUCGUGAGGUUGAUGACUGAGUGAGGCAGAGGGCCAGAUUGUGAGGAUAUAUAGUUAGGGAUUGGGCUGCACUCCGCGCGCGCGCGCGCACACACACACACACACAUAUAUGUAUAUAUAUAUAUAUAUAUAUAUAUAUAUAUAUAUAUAUAUAUAUCGUGCUGCACGCCUCAUCGAUAUAGCGCUUGGGCUUUAGGAGCCUCUCGAAAAUUUGCACACCACUAGUUAACGCAGUCGACUAUAUAAUUAUAAAUCGGGUUGCACGCCGCAGCGGUUUUUAUAAGGUACCUAUUGAGAGUGAGUGCUGAUUGAUAAGAGUUGAGUAACGAGUAACUGAGAGGCUUGCCCGAUGGGCUAUAUAUAUGCGUGAUACUUUGCCCGAGGGACUUGUUUUAUGAAAUUAUUGUUUUCACUCUUCUUUUAUAUUGCGCCUCUAAUGAAAAUGUUGACAAAUAUUUUAAACAGCUUUCAUUAAAACUGGAGUUUGUACGAGAUAUUCGAAAUUUAAUUACUAAUUUGACCUUGUUAUUUCUACUGAGGUUUUUAUGUUUCGAGAUGUAUAUGAUUUUAAAUGCGUGUCACUGUACUCACCCUUUAUUUAUAAUUGUUGCUUAAAGAGUUUGCGUACUCACGUUACUCAGUGCACCUUGUGUGCAGAUCCACGUGCCAAGGUAUCCGAGUGAGAGCCGAUCUUUUCCUUCCGACCAUUUUUUGACUUAGCGUGGUAAAUGCACGCCGUCCGCAACCUUGCCUUUGUCUUCCUAUCUUUUAGUAUUUGUAUUUAGCAUACUCAACUUGUAUUAAGUAGACAGUAUCAAGUAUCAGAUUGUAUUUUAGUGGCUCAUGAUUAAUGACUCUGGGAUCGGGCAAUAUUUGAUGUUUUGCAUAUUUUCCGCUUGUUUUGUAAUGUUCAUUUGAUUAGUAAAUGAAUUAAGAAAAAGUCCUUUUAUGUUAUAAAUGUCGAAUCGUCUAGCCUAGUAAUAUGAUAGGCACCAUCAUGGGCGAGGUGGUUUGGUGUGAUGACACUCUCUUUGUAUUUGUUGCUCUAAUUUAUAAUCCCUACUAAGUGGGAUUAUACUGGGUUGUUGUUAGGUUAACUAAAGGGGCAAUUUUGUAAUUUAACUUUUUAACUUUGGGGUUUCCACUUUUAAUAUAUUAUAGAUUAUAGAUUAUCGAUUAUAGACAAAGAAAUAUAAUGGUUAUUAGAGGUGGAUUUAGAAUUUAAACUUUGAUAAAUUCAAUAUUUAAGGCUUUUAGCAUAGAAUAAACUUCUAAUCAAGCUGCAUUCAUCUGCUAAUUUUGAUGGAGAAUCUUAGCAGCUCGGCUGGACGGAUACAUUAACUUUUGCCUUAUUGGUAAGGGUUCGAUUCCUUAUCUUGUUAUCCCCUCAUCUGUUCUUCUCUUUCCUAUAUAUCCCAUACGAAAUAAAACUACAAGAGUUAAAAAAUAAAAAGAGUUUUGCUAGUGUUAUGCUUUCUGUGUUGGGUGAAAAAGGGCGUUCAGAGUGUAAUACAAAUAACUCGAGAAAAUGACAUUGUAUAACGGCUCUAAAAAUAAUAGCUAAAAAAUUAUAUAUGUUGUUUAUAUAUAUAUAUAUAUAUAUUAUAUACAAAAAAUAUAUUUAUAUAAAUUUUAUACACUUUUUCGACUAACGAAUAUAAAUAAUUUUGGUUAAAAAAUAAAAAUCAUUUUUGCUCAAAGAAGGUGGGAUAAGGGGAAUCCUUCCACUGACUGCAGUCAAGAGUCAACGUUUCGUGCAAGGCUGAGCAUAAACGUUACAAUAUCUUUGCUAUACAACAAGAUGUGCUAACAUCAUAAAAAGGCUUUUUUUGCUACACAAUAUCUUUGACCAAAAUGAAGAAAGAAGGAAUUAAUUUCAUUUUAUCAUGAAUUCAUUAACGUCAGAUUGAAAUUUACGUUUUCCACGUUAAAUUUAGCAUAAUUUGCACGUCGAGCAUUAACGAUUUUCCAAAUUAAUUUGCCAUGCUAUUCAUCUAAUUUGUUCUAUUUUUCGUACCGUAGUUUUUGAGUUCUUGUGCUCGUUUUAAAUUGUUCGUGAAGAAAGAGUAAAACAAAGAUAAAAACAACGUGCAAACUCUAACCCAAACGGACAGUUGCACCAAAAAUAUUUGUUGAAUAUCUCUUUUUUCUCAUGAACAGCAACACUAAGAAGUUUUAAAUGGGUGGAAAUUUAACACCGCUGAUCAAAUAUUAUGUACAAACUCGCCCCCUAAAGAGUAAUUAGAUGGGGUUUCUUUCUGAUUUAUUAAAUUUAACUAUCCACUUAAUGGCCUAACUUAGUUGCUCAACCACGCUUGGUCAUCAUCUUCUUCAAUAGUGUCUGAUUAAAUAAAGGCCAGCUCGACGCACUAAAUUCCUGUCGUGCAAGUGAUCUGAAAGGGCCAGCUCAGCACUAUAAGCUUAUGUUGUGCGCGUGAUCCAGACUCUAGAAAAGGGUUGGAUAACAUUAGGUCUUUUGUACAUAGUCUUACUCUUCAUCUCUUCAAUGGUAAUUUAUUAAUUAUUUCCAAGUAAAAAAUUGAUAGUAUAAGAAAAGUUCAUCAACUCAAGUCCUUCAAUUUUUUAUGUGAACAUUGAUAUUAGGGAGCAAAAAUCCUCUUCAUCACAAGGGAUAGUAAGUCGCAUAUCAUGAUUGAAUCCAAAUUCUUCUUCAGCCCUUUCACUACAAGAAUUUCUGCAAAAAACGACCAAAAAAUAGCGACUGAAUUUGGUCUAUGGGAAAAAGUGACCAACGUUGGUCGCUAAACUAGCGAAAAUAAUAAACUAAAUUCUGAAAAUAAAAUAGCGACCAAAGUUGGUCGCUAACUUAGUCAAAAUAUUGAUUGGCUUGGUCAGACAUGCUUGGUCAAACUUUUAUUGAGAUUAGCGACCAAAACUUGGUCGCUAACGUGGGAACAGUGGGAACCGCUUACAAAAUUUUUUAAUAAUUAUAUUAUUAUUUUGAAAAAACAAUAAAAUAUAAAUAUAUAUAUAUAUUAUGAAUUAGCGACCAAAGUUGGUCGCUAAAUGAAGGAAAGAAAGGUAGCGGCCAAUUUUGGUCGCUUAACUAGGUCCCAGUUAUUCAAUUUUAAUAAAUAUAUUAUUAAUUUGAUUAUUAUAUGAAAUAUAAUAAAAUAUGAUUUUAAGUUAGCGACCAACUUUGGCCGCUAAUCUAAAUUCAUGAUUAAAUAGCGACCACAAUUGGUCACUAUUGUGGUCAACAAUGGUCAAAAUUAAAAAUUACUUUUGUGUUUACAAUGUAAAUAUAUAAAUGUAAGUCGUUAAUACUUUUGUAAUAUAAGGGAUGACAUGCACUACGAAGCGGGCGCGUGUGUCAAUAUAUACAGUAUAUGUACUUACGCUAUACUAUGCACUAAGUAUAAGUUUAUGAGGUAUUACCGUAUCAAAUACAACUUAUAUAUAUACAAUAUUUGUACUUACGCUAUACUAUGCACUAAAUAUAGGUGUAUGAGGUAAAACCGUAUCGAAUACAGCUUUUAUAUAUACAAUAUAUGCACUUACGCUAUACUAUGCACUAAGUAUAAGUGCAUGAGGUAUUACCGUAUUGAAUACAGCUUAUAUAUAUAUAUAUAAAAUAUGUAAUUACGCUAUAUUAUGCACUAAGUAUCGGUGUAUGAGGUAAUACCGUAUCGAAUACAUCUUAUAUAUAUACAAUAAUUGUACUCACGCUAUACUAUGCACUAAGUGUAAGUAUAUGAGGUAUUACCGUAUCGAAUACAGCUUAUAUAUACAAUAUAUAUAUAUACCUACGCUAUGCCAUGCACUAAGAAUAGGUGUAUGAGGCAAUACUAUAUCGAAUAAAGCUUAUAUAUCUACAAUAUAUGUACUUAUGCUAUACUAUGCAGUAAGUACAGGUGUAUGAGGUAAUACCAUAUCGAAUACACUUAUAUAUAUAUAAUAUAUGUACUAACGUUAUACUAUGCACUAAGUAUAAAUGUUUGAGGAAAUACCGUACCGAAUACAGCUUAUAUAUAUACAAUAUAUGCACUUACGCUAUACUAUGCACUAAGUAUAGGUGAUGCAAUGAAACUUCCACCAAGAAAUAAUACCCUAUCGAAUAUAGCUUAUAUAUAUAAUAUAUGCACUUACGCUUUACUAUGCACUAAGUAUAGGUGUAUGAGGCAUUACCGUAUCGAAUAUAGCUUAUAUCUGUAUACAAUAUAUGUACUUACGGUAUACUAUGCACUAAGUAUAGGUGUAUGAGGUAAUACCAUAUCGAAUACAGUUUAUAUAUAUACAAUAUAUGUACUUACGCUACACUAUGCCCUAAGUAUAUGUGUGUGAGGUAUUACCGUAUCAAAUACAGCUUAUAUAUAUACAAUAUAUGUACUUACGCUAUCACUAAGUAUAAGUGUGUGAGGUAUUACUGUAUCGAAUACAAGUUUUAUAUAUAAUAUAUUUACUUACGCUAUACUAUGCACUAUGUAUAAGUGAAUGAGGUAUUACCGUAUCGAAUACAUCUUAUAUAUAUAUAUAUAUGUACUUACACUAUACUAUGCACUAAGUAUAGAUGUAUGAGGUAAUAUCGUAUCAAAUACAGCUUAUAUAUAUACAAUAUAUGUAUUUACGCUAUAUUAUGCACUAAGUAUAGGUGUAUCAGGUAAUACCGUAUCGAAUACAACUUAUAUAUAUACAAUAUAUGUACUUACGCUAUACUAUGCACUAAGUAUAAGUGUGUGAGGUAUUGCCAUAUCGAAUACAGCUUAUAUAUAUAUACAAUAUAUGUACUUAUGCUGUACAAUGGACUAAGUAUAACUGUAUGAGGUAUUACUGUAUCGAAUACAACUUAUAUAUAUACAAUAUAUGUACUUACUCUAUACUAUUCACUAAGUAUAGGUGUAUAAGGCAAUAUUUUAUCGAAUACAGCUUAUAUAUAUAAUAUAUGUACUUACGCUAUACUAUGCAAUAAGUACAGGUGUGUGAGGUAAUACCGUAUCGAAUACAGCUUUUAUAUAUACAAUAUAUGUACUUAUGCUAUACUAUGGACUAAGUAUAAGUGUAUGAGGUAUUACUGUGUCGAAUACAACUUAUAUAUAUAGAAUAUAUGUACUUAUGCUAUACUAUGCACUAAGUAUAGGUGUAUGAGGCAAUAUCUUAUCGAAUACAGGUUAUAUAUAUAAUAUAUGUACUUACGCUAUACUAUGAACUAAGUACAAGUGUAUGAGGUAUUACCGUAUCGAAACAGCUUAUAUAUAUGCAAUAUAUGUACUUACGCUAUACUAUGCACUAAGUAUAGGUGUAUGAGGUANNNNNNNNNNNNNNNNNNNNNNNNNNNNNNNNNNNNNNNNNNNNNNNNNNNNNNNNNNNNNNNNNNNNNNNNNNNNNNNNNNNNNNNNNNNNNNNNNNNNNNNNNNNNNNNNNNNNNUAUCGAAUACAGCUUAUAUAUAUAUAUAUAUAUAUAUAUAUAUAUAUAUAUAUAUAUAUACAAUAUAUGUACUUGCACUAUACUAUGCACUAAGUAUAAGUGUAUGAGGUAUUGCCGUAUCGAAUACAGCUUAUAUAUAUAUAUAUAUAUAUAUAUAUAUAUAAUAUAUGUAAGUACGCUAUAUUAUGCACUAAGUAUAGGUGUAUGAGGUAAUACCGUAUCGAACACAUCUUAUAUAUAUACAAUAUAUGUACUUACACUAUAAUAUGCAUUAAGUAUAAGUGUAUGAGGCAUUAUGGGAUCGAAUACAGCUUAUACAUACAAUAUAUGUACUUACGCUAUACUAUGCACUAAGUAUAAGUGUAUGAGGUAUUACCGUAUCGAAUACAACUUAUAUAUACAAUAUAUAUAUACGUACGCUAUAGUAUGCACUAAGUAUAACUGGAUGAUGUAUUACCGUAUCGAAUACAACUUAUAUAUAAAUAAUAUAUGUAAUUACUCUAUAUUAUGCACUAAGUAUUAGUGUAUGAGGUAUUACCGUAUCAAAUACAGCUUAUACACACACAAACACACACACACACACACACACAUAUAUAUAUAUAUAUACACACACAUAUAUAUAAGUGUGUGUAAUUAUGCUAUACUAUGCACUAAUAAUAGGUGUAUGAGGUAAUAUGGUAUCGAGUAUAUAUAUAUAAUUUUUGUUUUGAAAUAGCGACCAACGUUGGUCGUUUUUUUGGUCAUAUGGUUAGAAAACAGCGACAACGUUGGUCACUAUUUCUAAUAAUUCAAAACUGUUUUACCAACAAAAAUAGCCACCAAUGUUGGUCGCUAUUUUAAUUACAGAACUGUCAAAACCGGGAUCCCCUCCUGUUUUUUCUGAAAGUUUCCCAAAAUCCAUCUUUUCUCUCUCAUACUCAAACCCCACCCCCUUCCAACUCCCACCACCAGGCCCCACUCAUGCCACCAACGACUACCGCUCAGCUUCUGUCAUCGACUCUCCCGUCGCCUCUGUCGUCACCUCCUAAAAAUUUACGGUUAGAAUUAAAAACCUAGGGUUUCAAUUAGUGAUUUAAUUGAUUAUUGUUUCAACCUAGAAUUAGUGUUUCAAUUGAUUAUUUAACAUUAUAUUUUUAAGGUUAGAAUUAAAAACCUAGGGUUUCAGUUAGUGUUUUAAUUGAUUAUUGUUUCAACCUAGAAUUAUUGUUUCAAUUAAUUAUUUAACAUUAUAUUUUAUACAAGCCAAGGGUUUAGAUUGUAUUUAUCAUUAUUUAAUAUUUUAUAGAAAACUAGGGUUUAGGGUAUGGGUUGAAUAUUUAGGCUAGGAUUUCUUGAGUAUUUCUCCUUCAAUAUUUUAGUAAGCAAUAGGUACUAAUUUAAUGUUAAAGACUUGACUCAUAGGUAGAUAUAUAUAUUAGGGUAUAAAUUAAACUUUUAGUUUAAUCUUGAUUAGUUUAUAGGUAGAUAAAAAUAAUAUAGACACAUGAUUGUAUAAAUGGGUAUUUAAUAUAGACACAUGAUAUAUAUUAGGAUAUAAAUUGAACUUAAACUCGUAGGAUAUGAAUAUAACUUUUAGGAAAUAAAUUGAACCUUGAAUCUUUGUAUUGUCUUGAAGCUUCUAGGACAAGACUUGAACUUUUAGGAUAUGACUUGAACAUUUUAGGUAUGAGUUGAACUUUUAGGAUAUGACUUGAAACUUUUAGGUAAGAGUUGAACCUUUAGGAUAUAAAUUGAAAUUAAACUCGUAGGAUAUGAAUAUAACUUUUAGGAUAUAAAUUGAACCUUGAAUCUUUGUAUUGUCUUGAAGCUUUUAGCAUAAGACUUGAACUUUUAGCAUAAGACUUGAACUUUUAGGAUAUGACUUUAGCCUUUUGAACCAUUGGGAUAUAAAUUGAACUUAAACUCGUAGGAUAUGAAUAUAACUUUUAGGAUAUAAAUUGAACCUNNNNNNNNNNNNNNNNNNNNNNNNNNNNNNNNNNNNNNNNNNNNNNNNNNNNNUUUUAGGAUAUAAAUUGAACCUUGAAUCUUUGUAUUGUCUUGAAGCUUUUAGGAUAUGACUUGUACUUUUAGGAUAUGACUUGAGCCUUUUAGGUAUGAAGAUGAAAUAUGUUUCGUCGGUCCUGGCAGUUCCCAUAAAGCGGGGAUCCUAAGACUAUGAUUACAGAGAUUAUAAGAAGUUUUGUUCUAAAUUUUCUUUCAUGUCUUAUCCAAUAAGUUUAAUGUGAUAAUUGUGAUAUUUCUUCAGAUUCAGACACUGAUUUGACCGACAAAAGUAUGGAAAUGCUCUUAAAAAAGUUUUAGGAGCAUUUCUAUACUUUGGUCGGUCAAAUCAGUCUCUGAAUCCUUAUAAAUAUCACAAUUAUCACAUUAAACUUGGUGGAUCAGACUUGAAAGAAAAUUUAGAAAAAAACUUCCUAUGAUCUUUGUCAUCAUAAAGUCUUAUGAUCCCCGCUUUAUAGGAACUGACACGACCGAUGGGAAAUAUUCCGUCUUCAUUAACGUUAUCACUAUCAAUCAAACUUCUUUCCUCUUGGAAAGUGAAGUAGAGAAUUUCUCUAUAACUUAUUUUAUCUACUUAGGAAAUGUUAAAUCCUACCUACACCAUCACUAUUUUGAAACACAUGUCGUUGCCUUCUCAUUAUUAUUGUAGCUAUAGUGAUCAACAAUUGAUCAAAUACACACCCUGUUAGGUAUUGUAUCCAAGUUAUUCUCUGUAUCUAAGUUCAUCCAUAGUAAUAGUACUGCGAAGAGGUUGAUGAUGUUAUUACACAUGCAAUGGAACGUCCACCAAGAAUAACUAAGAUACAGUACCUGGUGGAAUAUUCCUUUAAUUGUUCUUCUCAUUAUAGCGACAAUGAUGAUGAGAAGGCAAUGUCAUGUGUUUCAAAUAGUCAUGGUGUAGGUAGGAAUUAAAUAUUUCCUAAGUAGAUAAAAGAAGAGCUUAUAGAGGAAUUAUGUACUUUAUUUUCCAUGAUGAAAAGAAGUUUGAUUGAGAGUGACAAAGUUGAUGAAGACGGAAUGUGUUCUGUUGGUCGUGGCAGUUCCCAUAAAAUGGAAGUUUGAUUGAGAGUGAAAAGGUUGAUGACGAUGGAUGUUUUUCCGUUGGUCGUCGCACUUCCCAUAAAAUAGAAAUCAUAAGACUCUAUGAUGACAGAGAUUAUAUGUAGUUUUGUGCUCAACUUUCUUUCGAGUCUGAUCCGUAAAAGCUUAAUGUGAUAUUGGUGAUAUUUCUUCGGAUUCAGAUAAUGAUUUGACCGUCAAAUUAUUGUCUGAAUCCGAAGAAAUAUCAUCCAAUAUCACAUUAAGCUUUUCCAGAUCAGACUUGAAAGAAAUUUGAGCACAAAACUGCCUAUAAUCUUGGUCAUCAUAGAGUCUUAGGAUUCCCAUUUUAUGGGAACUGCAGUGACCAACGGAAAAAUUUCCAUCAUCAUCAACCUUGUCACUAUCAAUCAAACUUCUUUUCCUCUUGGAAAGUGAAGUAGAAAAUUUCUCAAUAACCUCUUUUAUCUACUUAGGAAAUGUUAAAUCCUACCUACACCAUCACUUUUUUGAAACACAUGUCCCUGCCUUCUUAUUAUUAUUGUAGCUAAUGAGAUAAACAAUUGAUCAAAGACACAAUCCGUCAUGUACCGUAUCCAAGUUAUUUUCUGUAUCAAAAUUCAUCCCGAGUAACAUAUAAGUUUUUUACUUUUCAUUAAAUAUUUUGAUUUGCUUUUAUAUAGAAUUUUAAAUACUAAUUCAAUAUAAUUUUCAUAUAGGUUCAAUUCGCUUCACAGCUGACGUGGGGGAAUUCAUACGCAAUCAACCACCUAAUGAACCGAGCGAGGCAAUCCAACUUUCAGACGAGGAUGCAAAAAAGAACACUCCUUCGAUACUUUAUAUACUAUUGUGUUAGAACUAAUUUAUAUACCAAUUUACUCUUGUGUUAGUUCUCUUUAGUUUGAGUGGGCUUGUAAUAAGCAUUAACUUAGUUUUGUUAGCUUAAUGUGUUAGUUCUAUUUAACUUUAUAUUAUGUUAGAAGAACUAAUUUACAUUGUGUUAGUUCUAUUGUGUUAGAACUAAUUUACAUACCAAUUUAGUAACGUGUUAGUUCUCUUUAGUUCGAAUGAGCUUGUAAUAAGCGUUAACUUAAUUUUGUUAGCUUAAUGUAUUAGUUCUAUUGAAGUUUAUUCUUUGUUGCUUUUAAUUAUUUUUUAUUGUUGUUGUUGGCACAAAAUGCCUAUUUAGGAAAUUGGUAUGACUGGAAGGUGGUGUAGCUCCAGAAACAGGUCGUUGAUGGCAAAAUAAUACACAGAAAAACUACCUAAGAUGGUCAAUAUUUGGUCGCUUUUCAAGUAAAAAAAAAAUUCUGGAGAAAAGCGACCAACUUUGGUCGCUAUUUUCCCAUAUUUCUAGAUAAGCGACCAACGUUGGUCGGUAUUUUAUUAAAAAAAAUUCUGCUAAUACAGAGACCAAAAUUGGUCGCAAUUGUUAAAAAAUUAAAUUAAAUUCAUGUAUUUAGGGACCAAAUUUGAUCGCAAAAUUAAUAAAAUAAAUAAAUAAUUGAAUAAAAUAGCGACCAAUUGUGGUCUCUAGUUUCCAUAUUUUAAAAUAUAAUUUUUGGAUUAGAGACCACAGUUGGUCGCUUUUUAAUGAUUAAUAAUAAAUAAAUAAAUAAUGUUUAUUUUAUUUAGAGACCAACUUCGGUCACAAAAUUAUAUUAUUAAAUUAAUAUAGCGAUCAAAGUUGGUCUCUAUAUUCAACAUCCAGAAAAAUGGACCAUUUAGAAUAGAGACCAAAGUUGGUCGCUAAUUAGUGACCAACUUUGGUCGCUAUAUUAAAGGGACCAUCAAUAUAGCUACCAGGCACCUAUGGUCGCUUUUUGGUCGUUUUUUAGCCAAAAAACGACCAAAGUUGAUUGUUUUUUUCCCGAAUUUCUAAUAGUGUUUUAAGCAAACUUUGAAAUUCAAGAUACGUCAACCAAGAAAUAGGAAUUAUGUGUCUGCUCCUAUUUUCACCCACAUAUACUACAAAGUGGCCUUUGGGACAUCUUGAGGGUAUCCAUUCUCAUUCUUUCCAAAGCUUGAACACCUUUUCAUAAUUUGUUUGAAGGCUCCAGUUUGAGUAAAGUGUUUGCUUGAUUUCUUUAGAGCCAUUUUGGUUCUUGAUAUGAGAAGAAUUAAGGGGGGAAAAGGUUCAAUUGGGGUAGCUUUAAGUUUUGUUUUUUUGAGUUGUGUGGGGAUGAAUGGGAAGAAGGGUUAAGGGGGGGAAAGGUUCAAUUGGGGUGGCUUAAAGUUUUAUUUUUUUGGGUUGUGUGGGGAAGAAUAGGAAGAAAGGAGUGUAUUUAUGGGGAGAGAUGGAAAUACAAAGGCACAUGGAGUGUGUAGGAAUAAAGGAACUAAAUAGGUUUUGUUUUGGGAUUAGUCUUGUAUUCAGUCUCUUUUGUUCUUUCUUUCAUUGGUCCAAUACCCUAUUUUUGUCGCCCCACCUAAAAAUACUAGAUUGGACCAUUCACCUCCCUACAGCUAACACCCAAAAUGCAGCCCUGUUGACCAGUGACAAAGCUAGUAAUUUUUUUGAGGGUGUUCAAAUUAAAAGAAAUGGAAAAAAAUUCCGAUAAAGGAUAUUUAAUAUAUGUGAUAUACUUCUAAAAUAUAAUAUUUUAUCUAUAUAUACAUUGCAACUUUUCAACAAAGGGUGGUCAGUUAACCAUCCUUAACAUACAUAUGGCUUCGCCACUGCUGGUGACUAUUUCUUUUACCUUUAAUAAAAGAUCAACUCGGUGUACUUAGGUUCUUGCUUAGUGUAGAGUUCUGAGAAGGGACAAAUAACAUUGAAUAUAUUGCACACAGUUUUGUACUUUACGUUUUUCUAAACGGUUAAGGGUCAGAUUUGCCCUUGUACUAUUCAAAAUAAGUUACAUUUAUCCUCCGUUNNNNNNNNNNNNNNNNNNNNNNNNNNNNNNNNNNNNNNNNNNNNNNNNNNNNNNNNNNNNNNNNNNNNNNNNNNNNNNNNNNNNNNNNNNNNNNNNNNNNNNNNNNNNNNNNNNNNNNNNNNNNNNNNNNNNNNNNNNNNNNNNNNNNNNNNNNNNNNNNNNNNNNNNNNNNNNNNNNNNNNNNNNNNNNNNNNNNNNNNNNNNNNNNNNNNNNNNNNNNNNNNNNNNNNNNNNNNNNNNNNNNNNNNNNNNNNNNNNNNNNNNNNNNNNNNNNNNNNNNNNNNNNNNNNNNNNNNNNNNNNNNNNNNNNNNNNNNNNNNNNNNNNNNNNNNNNNNNNNNNNNNNNNNNNNNNNNNNNNNNNNNNNNNNNNNNNNNNNNNNNNNNNNNNNNNNNNNNNNNNNNNNNNNNNNNNNNNNNNNNNNNNNNNNNNNNNNNNNNNNNNNNNNNNNNNNNNNNNNNNNNNNNNNNNNNNNNNNNNNNNNNNNNNNNNNNNNNNNNNNNNNNNNNNNNNNNNNNNNNNNNNNNNNNNNNNNNNNNNNNNNNNNNNNNNNNNNNNNNNNNNNNNNNNNNACCAUUCAAGUGAAGAACAAGGAACUUCCACAUGCUUUCUCCAACAACAAGAAGCAAAGGUGUAUUAUGAAACUUAACUUUCUGCAGAACAAGAUUCUAUUGCACAGCAGCUGAUAAAAACAUGAAAAACGAAAAAUAUUGUUAAUUAUAUUAUGAACAGAAUUACAUCCUAUUUACGUUCAUAGCAACGUUUGAAAUCCUUUCCCUUCCUUACAAGUUAAAAUGGCAGUUUCUGGAUUAAGUAUUUGAUAGCUUACACCGAAUUUUCAUGUAUUGACAACAACAAUCAGUGGAGUAUCAUUUUUUAUCACAAAUGCUGAGUUUGCUGCCUAUCCCCCUCCCCACCCCCACCCUCCAAAGAAAAAGGAAAGAAAAAAACUGUGUAUUAUAUUUACUCUGAUGCUCUUGCCGUCAAUUUUCAGAUUCGUCGUGACAUGGAUACCAAGAUUUUAGAUGCUCUGACAUUCAACGACAUUCAAUUACUGAAGAAGGAUCAGCCAAAAACUGCCUAGACCUUAGUUGAUGUUCCAAUUCUUUUCUUGGAGGAUCAUCGAAGACGAAUAGACUGCAAUCACAAUAUAAAUCAUAUAACUUCCAAGUUGUGCUGGAAGUAAACCAAAUGCAAUUUUCCUCUUCACACUUUGUGAUACCGCAAUACAACUGGUGCUCAAUUGAUAUUGCUUUAUCGCAACUCAAUUGAGCAGAGAGAACCUGAAUGUAGGAUGGCUCAUGGUAAGGUUUGGUUGGCGAGCCUCAUUGUCUAAGGAUGUUGAGAAGUGAUCUAAAGUCUAUUGACAGAAACAAUUUUAUAUCCUGAAAUCUGCAUGAAUAAUUUAAGUCAAAAUAGCAGAGAACUUCUCACUCCUCCCUAACAUAGGUUUCUGUUUUAAACUGCAUAGAUGCGUUUCCAACGCCGCUCCCCUGCAACCCACUCUCUGAAUC